rnacentral:lncRNA from 1 species
UAUCUGCGACAUCCCCUCGUAUCUAAAGUUUCAUCCUUGUCUCCUUCUCUGCACCCUUUUAUAGGAACAUCAUCCAGAAAAGGCAUAGUCUUUUCCGGAAUAAAAUCUCUCAAUACCUUAUUCAUCCCAUUCAUCAUAUGCGCAACUGAGUUGGUCGCGCCUUGAGGAAGAGUGCACAUUCUAAGCAAUCCAAGCGGUGUUCUCAUCGUUGUCAUAUCUCUACUUCCUUCGGCAAGUUGAAAUUGAUCAUAACCUGAAUACAAAUCACUCAUUGAAUAGAUCGCCCUUCCAGCAAACGCCUCAGCAAAUUCAUCCACAAUAGGUCCAAUUCCUACAUUCCUGACAGUUACAGCAUUCACCGGCUGCAUAUCUUGAAUAAACCGCAGUGACCCAAUCUUCUUAGGUACCGUAAACCAUUGACUAGAAUACGGCGCAAAUGAAGGUUCUAAUAUUUUUAUCUUUUCUUUCAAUAGUUCCACCAAUUUAGGUAAAUGUGCCCUCGGUACUGGAAUUGGUCUUAGAUUCCAAGGUACAUGCGGUACAAUGAAGAUAACCAUAGGUGUUAUAAUAUUUGGAUCCACACACCCAAUUUCAUGAGAUUCGAAGGCAAACGAUCUACCUUGUUUAGCCAACAUCUUUUUGAAGCAAGUAAUUUCCUCUGGCAAUAAAGAACCAUCAGAACCAAUCUUCAAUUCUUCAAAAGUCUCUUCAGUAAACUGAUGUCCAAUACUCAUUGGAUCUCUUAAACUCGCUUCUUUUGAUGCUUCUCCCAUUUGUUCUUUAGAAUCCUCUGGUAAUGGUCUGACAAUAGGCUUUACCUUCUUAUCUGCCGUUUUAUAUCUCGUCUCUACUGUGACUUCUGGUGCUUGAAAAGAUUCAAGCAUGGUAUAAACCUCUAUCAAAUGAAUCUCAAUAAUCUUAUCAUUAUCCCCUAACCCAAUAGAUGUAAUCAAUUCCAAUGAAUCUUCCAGCCCAUUUUCUUCAUAAACACCCAAAAUCCUCUCAUCAUCUUGCAAUGUACCUAUCUUGCGUAACUGUCCUUCAAUAUCAUAUAAUCUUUUUCUUUCAUUUCUUUUAAAAUCAUCAACUUUCUUAUAUAUAAUAUUUCCAUUCUCCAAUAUACCAAUAAAACUCGCAUCAAAGGCACCUUCAUCUCACGAGAGUACCUCCUGUUUUGUACCUCCAUAAUCUCGCUUUACAGUGGCACCUCUCCAAAAUCCUUAAAUCCUUCAACAAUCUUUGGCAAUGGUUUUUCCCUCAACCUAUCUCGAUUCCGUUCAUGGUUAGGAGGUACUGUUAGAAAUUGUACAACUUUCCUCCCAUCUUCGCUCCGUACCCUUGCAUAAGCAGAACCAUCGUCAAGUACUUUUGUUUCCAUCCGUGUUGCCGUGAUAUAAGGUUGUCCUAAAAUCAACGGAUAAGACGUUGUAUCUUGAACGAAGAAAUGUUACUCCGUCGCAACAUCCCCAAUCCGAAUUUUGACAUCUGGAAAAGCUCCAUAUAAUUCGCCCCGUGAGUUAUUAGCUGCUCGUAUUGCCCAUCUAUGUUCCAUAUCAAUUGGCCAUUUUUGCUUCUUAUAAAGAUCUUUAGACAUGAGAUUUAUUUCAGAACCACCAAAGCAACUAUUGGUUCUUCUAUAUCUCCUACCUUCACCAAUACCUCAAUAGUUGCCCUUGCCCAAUGCUUUCGAGUAUAAUGGCUCAAAGUUUCCAUUCCCUUGUCACUAAAAUCUUCGAAACGUACUCGCUGAUUAUACCCAUUUUUUUCAUUUGUUGGUUGCUUGUAACCAAUAUCAACCUCUUCUUCAUCUCUACAUAUUCUUGCAUCAAUAGCAUGACUCACUGCAGUUUCGCUCAUUAAUUGCCUCUUUCGCUUAAUGCUGUCAAUGAUAACAUCAUGAAAUUCCUUCUUUGCAAUUCCCAAGACUUCUUUCAAUGUGAAUUCCACCUUAGCGUUUAAUAUACGUUCUUCCAACACCCCUUUCAAAUUUGUUGCCGCUUCAAUGUCAGAAAGUAGCUUAUAAGCAAUUGAUUUGCCCUUAUCUUUUGUCUCCAUUGUUUUUUCUCUAAGUGAUGCUGAGGUAUCCUUUACAGGCUAUUCUUGUGAAGCUGCCUCCCGAGCCUUGUCUCCUCGAGUUUGCCUCUUAAAAGAAUUUCCUUCUCUAGUAUCAUCAAAAUUUCCUCGUCUUUUUUCUUCCAUCAAGGCUUCAUGUUGGAUCUUAGCAAUAUAUGCAUGAACUGAAAGAGACUCAACAGGAUCCUCCCAACCUGUUCUUCCUCGUAUUGUAGCUGCAGUUCUCAAUAACGCUUCUCGAGGUAAUUUCCCUUCUUGCAUUGUAGAAACGGCAGAAGCCCAAAAAUCACUAGUUUCCGUACUUCCACCAAUUGCAUCAUCUACUCUAGCACCAUAACUUGCACUUUCUCGUACUACUGUUUCAUGCUCUUUUAAGUAAUCUUGAACCAAUGCUCUCAUUCCUCCCUUGUCAAAAUUGGUUUGAAGAAGAUCCUCCCUAUCUUUCAAUGCUAUCUUCCCAUCUUUCCAGCAAAUAAUUCCGUGCCAUAUCAUAUUAUUAAAUUCAUUGCAAUCUUUUCUAGUGUGUGAAGCAUCAUCACACCAAAUGCAUCUUUGUACAUAUCCUUGUUUUGAAACAUUCUUCGAAUUAUUUAUAGAAGUAUUCUCUCUAAGUCUUGCCAAUUUGAUUUGAAGAUCUCGCAUUCCUCGUAUAAUUUCUUCCAUACCCAUAUCUGCUUUCUUUGACAAGGAUGUCGAAGGUUGAACUGUAGGCAUUGUCGGUGGUGUUGUACGUACUGGAGCUUUGGGUGCUUGUACUAUUUUCGGAAUAUUACUCUUAUCCUUCCUCCUUUCUUUUUUUGUAAGCAACCCCACCGCAUCUUCAACGUUCUUCCACUUCGUUGUCAAUCCUUCAUCUUCUUCUUUGUCUUCAAGAAGGGGUUCUAAUUUCUCUUGCAAUUCUCCAUCAGCAGCUUGAAGAAAUAGAUCAACUUUGUUCGGCUCCAAUGUCAAUUUUUCUACCUUCGAUAAUUGAGAGUACUGCCUCUCAAAUUCCCUUAGUAGCUCUGUUGCUUACAAAUUCUUAUUGGGCCGUUCAAUCCAUCCCAGAAACAGCUUCUUAGUAACGCGAUCAGCAUCUUUCAAGAAAUAUUCGUCUUUCAAUGCAUUUGAAAAAUCCUCCCAUGAAUUCCCACAACGAUCCGUAAUCGAUGUAAUGUGGUCCCUAAUCUCCGGUAUCGUGGCAAGUCCAAUUAGUGCAACCAUUUUUUUCUCAGAAACCCGAUUUAAUUCCAUUUCACGAACAUAACAUCUUAAAUACCUUGAAAUAUUCCUCCCAUCAAAUUGUUCAAUUUUAUUGACCACUGCUUUCAAUGCUUUGGUUGCCAAAGCUUCCUUUCGAUCAUUGCUUUGUUGUUGCUGCAUUGACAAUGAGAAGGCUUGAAACAAACUAGCAAUAGACGGAUCCAUGUGCAUACCUUGUCCUUUAGAAGACUCCCCACUCGAAACUUCUCCCAAAAAUCCUUCAAAAAUUUUAUUUUCGUUUUCCAUAAAAAUAAAGAUAAAAUCAACCAAAAUCAAAUACCUUCCACCUCAAGCUUUCACGUCGGGUUCACCACUUAUGUCGUAUUACGUGCUUUCCUGCUCGAGAACGCGCGAGGCGUCUGGCUGUAGAAGGUAGUACGGAGAUUCGCCAAUAGUCAAGCAGUCUAUCAGUUUUAGACUGCUGGAAUAUAAACGACUGUAAGAAUACACCGUAAAUCUAUACGGAUGCCCUUUGACUGCUUGUCGAAGUCCUUUUUGCCUCAGCCGGUAGGUCUCUAGACGUUAUAGAGAACCCCAAACAACACAAUCUGCUUAUCUCCGAUACCGCUUUGUACUUAGGAUCUUGUAUCCACUAAUUGUCUUGUUAGAUUAACCCAAUAAAUUUCAUGCACUCCGCAUACUCAAUCCUAUAGACAUCCUUUUAAUUCUUCAAUCACAGACGUAACUCGAUUUCAUAAAACAGUCAAGAGUGAUUAAAUCCACUUCAUUAAAAAAAAAUCCCGAUUCACCAUUACAACACUGACUUCAGCAACGAUUGCCUCAGUCUUCUCGAAACCUUAUGAAGAAGAAAAACCCAAUUCUCUGUCUUUUCUUCCCGGAACCGAAGCAUCAAGCUCCUCUUCAAUCCCCUCAUCUUCAAAAACCUCCAAUGAAAAACCGAACUGGUAACCUUGCAAAAGCUUGAAAACUCGCUCCCCCCUCGAUUCCCCUGAUCUUUAAAAACCUCUUAUGAAAACCCGAAUUUGUAACCUUGCAAAAGCUUGAAAACUAGCUCCCUCCUCGAUUCCCCUGAUCUUCCUUAUCCUCUGAAUUUCUUCAAUCUUCUGUCUUAGAUCCGGAAUUGGCUCCCACCUCAAGCUUGGAUCCAAAAUUGGCUCUCGCCGUCAUGCUUUCUCCUCCGUUUUUACCUUUCAGAAAUCCAUUUAUCGAAAACAACGUUCUCUGAAACGGUACAGAGAACAAGACAGCCUGAAACAGAAUCGAACCCCGUAAUCGGGACCACAUUGAGUCGCCCGACCAAUUCAGGUCCUAUAUUGGGAAAGAUGCCCGUAAUAACUUGGAUGUUCCCGUAAUUGGGUCAAAUUGGUACUCGCAUCAGAUUGGCUAAGACCCGAAGUAAGACCUGGAUUUCUCGUAAUUAGACCACAUUGGGUUGACCGGCCAAUUCAGGUCUCAUAUUGGAUAAGAGGACCCAGAUUCGAUUAUCGAAAUUGGAUCCAAUUGGCUCCUCGAACCCGUCGUGUGAAUUAGUCCUUCUCUUCCUGCUGACUCCCGUUAUUGGAAUCGAAUGGAGCAUUUCAGUAUGCCCCGGCUGACUGUAACGGAGUGACUGAACCUGACCACUCAGUAUUUGUACUGGAGUUGAUCGAUGCUCCCAAUAUUCAAGGUAACUGAAUAUUAAUAAUAUUUCCCUUUUUUUUUAUUUUCACUGUAUACUCGUGUUACAACACGACACCGGUGAAUGCUGUAACUGUCAGGAAUGCAGGAAUUGGACCUAUUGUGGAUGAAUUUGCUGAGGCGUUUGUUGGAAGGGCGAUCUAUUCAAUGAGUGAUUUGUAUUCAGGUUAUGAUCAAUUUCAACUUGCCGAAGGAAGUAGAGAUAUGACAACGAUGAGGACAUCGCUUGGAUUGGUUAGAAUGUACACUCUUCCUCAAGGCGCGACCAACUCAGUUGCGCAUAUGAUGAAUGGGAUGAAUAAGAUAUUGAGAGAUUUUAUUCCGGAAAAGACUAUGCCUUUUCUGGAUGAUGUUCCUAUAAAAGGGUGCAGAGAAGGAGACAAGGAUGAAACUUUAGAUACGAGGGGGUGUCGCAGAUAUGUUGUUGAUCAUAUACAAGAUUGUGAAAAGAUUUUAACUCGGCUUGGAGAAGUUUAUCUUACAUUAUCGGGUAUGAAGUCCGUAUUUGAAGUGCGAGAGGUUGUAAUUGUUGGACAUUUAUGCGGAUCUUAUGGAAGAAAACCAGAUCCGACUAAAGUUGAUGCAAUUGGAAGGAUGAAAGAGGAUUGUGGUUCUUUAACAGAGGUUCACAGGUUUUUGGGUGCAUGUGUAUUUUAUCGAAUCUGGAUCCCUCAUUUUGCUCACAUAGCGGAUCCAUUAUAUGAACUGUUACGCAAGGGUUACCGAUUUGAAUGGAAAGAAAGGCAUAUUCAGGCAAUGCAAAGAUUGAAGAAAUUAUUGAUGUCACCUCCAAUAUUGAAGAAGGUUGAUUAUAAGUGCAAUAGACCAGUGAUUCUUACUGUAGACGCUAGUCCAUUUGCCGUUGGAUGGGCUGUGGGUCAAGAUGAUUCGAAUGGGAGUAGAUUUGCAGUUCGAUUUGGGGCUAAAGUUUUAAGUAUUCGUCAGCGUGCAUAUUCGCAAGUCAAAAGAGAACUUUGGAGAGUCGUUUCGGCUAUGAAAGCUGAAAAGGACUAUUUGAUUGGGGCAGUAGUAGUAAUUGAAACAGAUUGCUUGCCAUUGCUUGGAAUGAUUAUUAACUGUUCAACGCGAGAUAUUGCAAUGUUGAAAUGGAUUGCUUAUAUUAAGUCACUAAAUCCAGAAUUUAAGCAUAUCACUGGAAAGGACAAUUUAGUAGCAGACAUGCUAUCUCGAGCAAGAUACGAGAGGGAGGACGAAAUGGUUGAAGACAUUGAUGAUGUCAGAUUGAAAUUCUAUUCAAUAUCAAAUCUCAACAGAGAAGACAAGCUAUUUCUUGAAGAAUCUUAUGAAGGAGAAUUAUUGGAUAUUGGUCAUUAUUUGAAUACCUUGUCUAAGCAGGGGAAUUGGUCUACAGAAAAAUUCAAACAAAUAAGAAAAAAAACAUAUGGAUUUUUACUUCGAGAUGGAUUCUUAUGGAAGAGACCGAAGAAAGGAAUUGGGAUGCCACAACGAGUGAUAGGCAAAAGGGAAGAAAAACUAAAAUUAUUAAAGGAGUUUCAUGAUAGUUUAUGGGAACGGCAUAGAGGAAUCUGGGCUACUUUUGCUAAACUCAAGGAACGAUAUUGGUGGAAAAAUAUGUAUCAAGAUGUGCUCUCAUUUGUAGAGUUAUGUGAAAUCUGUCAAUCAUAUUCUAAUAUCCGACAUCGAGAUGGUCUUCAUCCUACGUAUCCUCUGACUAUUCAUUUUAAAUGGGUUGUUGAUUUGGUUAUUAUGCCGGUUGGGUUAUGGCAGAUGAGAUAUUUGAUUUAAGCUUGUGAAGAUUUAUCAAAUCAAGUAGAAGGAAGAGCAUUGAGGACAAAAUCUACAGAGGGGAUUUGUAGGUUUUUGCUUGAAGAUGUCAUUUGCAGUUACGGAUGCAUAGGAAAAAUCAGUGCAGAUCGUGGAGAAUUAAAUGCACAAGAAGCUCGUAAGUUCUUUGAAAAAUGUGGAGUUAAACUAUCACUGACUACUGCUUAUAAUCCGGAAGGGAAUGCGAAAAGCAAACGCGGUCACCCACCGAUUGUGAAAGCAUUGGUUAAAGCUUGUAAUGGGAAGGUUAAAGAGUGGCCACGGCUUUUGUCAUUUGCAUUAUGGGCUGAUCGAACAACACAUAGUUCGGUGACAGGAUAUAUGCCAGUAGAACUUAUGACAGGUCAAAAACCAAUUAUGCCGAUUGAAGAAAAGGUACUUACUUGGAGUAUGCUACCAUGGGAAGAUGGAUUGACAAGAGAAGAACUUCUGGCUAUUAGGAUUCGACAAUUGGAGCAAAGAACGAAAGAUGUCCAGAUAGCAUUGGAAAGGUUAAAAAGAGCGAGGUUACAAAACAAGGCGCGAUUCGAUAAGGAACAUCGAUUGAGACCAAAAGCAAUCGAGGAAGGUGACUGGGUACUUCUUUAUGACAAUAGUCUGGAUAAUCAACAUAGUACCUUGCGGAAAUUUUCAAAACGUUGGUUUGGACCAUAUGUUGUAACAACUGUUCAUGAUAAUGCGACUUACUCAUUUCGGGAGUUAGAUGGUACAAAAUUGAAAAUACCAAUUGCAGGGAAGCGAGUAAAAAUAUUUAAACGAAGACACGCAUAGAUGAAUAUGGAAGACCUUAAUGAAGGUAUAGAAAUUCCGUAGCAAGAAGAUGAAAGUGAUAUGGAUAAUGAAGGUGACGAAGACGAACUGGACAAAGACGUAGGGGAUAUAUUCUGAAUCAAACAGCAAUUGGGUAAAUUGGUGCAUACCGGAGGAUGUACAGGUUCAGAGGGGGUGGAUGUCGUAUUAUAAUACGAGUAUAUAGUGAUAAUAAAAAGAAAGGGAAAUAUUAUUAAUAUUCAUGUACCUCGAAUAUUGGGAGCAUCGACCAACUCCAAUACAAAUACUGAGUGGUCAGGUUCAGUCACUCUGUUACAGUCAGCCGGGGCAUACUGAAAUGCUCCGUUCGAUUCCAAUAACGGGAGUCAGCAGGAAGAGAAGGACCAAUUCACACGACGGGUUCGAGGAGCCAAUUGGAUCCAAUUUCGAUAAUCGAAUCCGGGUCCUCUUAUCCAAUAUGAGACCUGAUAUGGCCGGUCAACCCAAUGCAGUCUAAUUACGGGAAAUCCAGGUCUUACUACGGGUCUAAGCCAAUCUGACGCGAGGACCAAUUUGACCCAAUUACGGGAACAUCCAAGUUACUACGGGCAUCUUUCCCAAUAUAGGACCUGAAUUGGUUGGGCGACUCAAUGUGGUCUAAUUACGGGAAAUGCAGGUCUUACUACGGGAGAUUUUUGAAGAUCAUGGGAAUUAGAGAGAGGAGCUUCAUGCUUCGGGUCGGGAAAGGAAAGACAUAGAAUUUGGAUUUUUCUUCUUCAUAGAGUUUUGGGAAGACUGAGGCAAUCGCUGCUGAAGUCAGUGUUGUAAUGGUGAAUCGGGAUUUUUAAAUGAAGAGGGUUUGAAUACUCUUGACCGUUUUAUAAAAUCGAGUUACGUCUGUGAUUGAAGGAUUAAAGGGGUGUCUAUAGGAUUGAGUAUGCGGAGUGAAUGAAAUUUAUUGAGUUAAUCUAACAGGACAGUCAGUGGAUACAAGAUCGUAAGUACAAAGGGGUAUUGAAGAUUAACAGUUUGGGUUGUUCGGGGUUCUCUGUAACGUCUAGAGACCUAUCGGCUGGGGCAAAAUAAAAGACUUUGACAAGCAGUCGAAGAGCAUCCGUAUAGAUUUAUGGUACAUUGUUGCAGUCGUUUAUAUUCCAGCAGUCAAAAAUUGAUAGACUGCUUGACUAUUGGCAAAUCUCCAUACUACCUUCUACAGCCAGACGCCCGGCGCGUUCUCGAGGAGGAAAGCACGUAAUACGACACCGGCGCGUUCUCGAGCAGGAAAGCACGUAAUGCGACAUCGCAACCUCCAAUUUAUCAAUGGAUUAUAUUUUUCCAACCAAGAAAGACCAAGAAUAAUAGGAUUUGAUGGUGUUCUAAUAAUAUUAAAAAUAAUAUGACUACUAUGGUCUUUAAAUGUUACUUCUAUAGGUUUUGAUUCAUGGGUGAUGCUACCAGACAAUAAAAGUCGCCCAUGUAUGACCUCAACAUGAACAGGUUUUGAUUUUUGUACUAAAGGGAUCUUAUGACGCUUUGUAAAUUUUUCGUCUAAAAAACAAGCAGAUGCUCCUGAGUCUAGUAGUGCUAAGGUUCUCAGUUUUUGAGGGCCGAUAAAUAGAGGGAUUAUAAAACAAAGUGCAGGUUGGGCAGAAAGAAAGGAACCUGAUUGUUGUUGGGAUAUUUCAUUGUCCAGCCGCACGGUUCCUACUGUGGCUGGGCAUCCUCGUUUUCCUGAACAAAUACUCCCCUAGUCUUGACUAUGCCUCGAUUUUGCUUUUUGAGGCAGUUUCCGACUUUGUGGCCUUCUCCACCGCAAUACAAGCAUAAAUUUUCCUCCAUACGUCACUUUUUUUCUUCUAUAGUAAGAGAUUUGAUACGUACCGCAUCAAUUUGUAUGUCUUCCACCUCUGAAUGCGAAUUCACACUGCUUGCCGACAUAGUUAGAGCAUGGCGAAUUAUACGUUGUCUUGAGCGUUGAUCUUGGCGACGUUAGAAUAGGCGAUUAUCGUACUUCAUAGCUUGGCUAAUGGCUUCAUUGAGCGUUCGUGGAUCAGGAAGAGUUAACAGUAAAUCCUUCACAUCAUCUCUUAAACCCCAAUAGAAUUGACUCAUCAACGCUUCUUCAUCCCAAUUGAUGUCGCAUACUAAUUACCUGAAAUCUGAAGCAUAGACUGAUGUAGAACGCAUCCUUUGUCGUAGCAACCGGAUCUUUGUUGUAGCCCAUCGAACCUUAUCGUGUUCACCAAAUGCUUCCGCAAAUGCUUCCAAAAAGGUUUCGAAGUUGUUUAAUAUGGAUGAUCGUUUCUCAAACAAAAGAGCAAACCAUGAUAGAGCUUGUCCUGUAAGUAAGGUUCCAACAAGCCCAAUACGUGACUCCUCCGUUGGAUAUCGUUCGGGUUGUAAAACUGUUAUCAACCUGAUUUGAUUGACGAAUCCUCGAAACUUGGAACGUGUUCCAUCAAACUUAUCUGGAAGGCUAACUCGAGGCUCUUUAUGUUGUAGAACUAGUGGUUCUUGUCGAACCUGAGGUAAAGUUGUUUCUCCAAGUGCCGAAAUUUGAGGCUGGUGUAGUUUAGAUUGUCCUAUCCCAGAUACUCCAUCAUUAUGAAGCCUUGCCACCACUCCUUCAAUCUCUGCAGUUCUUUGUGAUAACGCAGCGAGAACAUUCAUAAUAGCAUCUAACUUAGACUCCGAACUUUCUGUCAUACUAAUGUCUUGACCUCCGGCCAUUCUAAAAGAAGGACAAAAAAUGAUCCUAUAAGAGGCAAUAUUGGUUUAUAGGAGGGUAACCCACAACCUAUAAAAUGCCUUAAGAAUUUCAAGAAGAGGGAUAAUCCACUCUCUCCAAGAAGAAUAAGACUCCAAUAUUGUAACAGAAGAAGUAUCAGUUUAGAGGAGGGUAAUCCACAACCUCUAAAAAAUGCUAGUAUACCUUCAAGUAGAGGGGUAAUUCACACUCUACUAAGAAAGAACUAGCUCUGAUAUCUCAAGUUAGUGUAGUCUCGACAAACUGUCACGGACACAAAAUACAGACUUGAAAUCUAACAAGAAGUUCAAGAAGAAGUGGGAGAACUAGAUUAAACAGAUGAGUACAAGAACAACACCAGAAAGGUAAGCUAGAACUCCAAAAGAUGUGUUGUCGAGACUGAAGAACUCUUCAGCCUCGAUCCCUAUAUAUACUCCUAUUUAGGAAGCUUCUCGAGCUACUUCUAUUAACUAGGAAGCUUCUAGAAGGUUCCAGAGACUUCCUUUCUAGAAGGUUCUAGAAACUUCUCGAGCUACUUCUAUUAACUAGGAAGCUUCUAGAAAGUUCCAGGGGAUUCCUUUCUAGAAGCUUCUAGAAACUUCUCUUCAAGAAGGUUCCAGAGACUUCAUUUCUAGAAGCUUCUAGAAACUUCUCUCUAAAAGGUUCAAGAGGCUUCUCUUCUAGAAGGUUCUAGAGGCUUGUUUUCUAGAAGGUUCUAGAAACUUCUCUCUAGAAAGUUCUAAAGAAUAUGUCCCUAACAGAGAGGCUAUAAUUUUCAAAACUUAUAUUAGUUUUAAGUUAAGAAGCUUCUAAAUUUGUCAGUUUUAGUUGGUUUUAUAUAUUUUUUAAGAUUAGCCAAUACACCAUAAGAAAUUUAUAUAUGAUGAAAAAUGUCAUCUUUUAGAAUUUGAGUUAAGCUUUCUUCAUCAAGUGAUAUAUAUAUAUAUAUAUAUAUAUAUAUAUAUAUAUAUAUAUAUGUAUAUAUAUAUAUAUAUAUAUUUUAAAUAAAGAAAAUAAAACUAUGUAAAAAAUUGCUGAAAAGUGCUUAUAUUUUAAAAAUAAAUAAAUCAGACUUAGCUUACAUUUCUAAAAUCUAUUAAAACCAAGAUAUUAAUUUUCCUAUUUGAAACUGUAUAAAUAUAAUAAUUAGUCCUAUUUUAUAUCCUACUCUAAUCACUUUGGUUAUUCAAGUAUUAAUUUUUCUUCACAAACUCAAAAUCCUUUGUAAAACUUCUUGUAGAAAUCUUUGUUUUUGGGCACAUAAUAAGGCAAUAUAUAUGAAAGGAAAAAAUUGUGAAAAAUAUUUUGAUACAAAACAAUACAAUAUACAAUGAGAAAGGACAGCAUGUGUAAAAGAGCAACAUUGUAAAAAAUAUUUUGACACAAAAAAAUACAACAUGCAAUGAAAAAGAAAAAUAUGUAUUCAAAAACACAACACUUUUAUUAUAUUAUAAAUAAUACAUAUUUAUAGUAAUUUUGGCAUGAUUUUUAGUAAUUUCACCAAACAACAAUUCUAUUAUAUUAUAAACUAGUAGAAAUCCAUGCUAUUGGUGACAAAAAAUAUUUAUUGCAACUAUUUACAAAAAAAUUCAAUUGGGAGCUUUCGAGCUCCACACUUGUUGAUCUUGUAGUACUAUUCUCAACAAUCUAUAGCAACAAUAUGUAGAAUUUGAUCUUUUAUUGAUCAAAAGUUGAGUUAUUGCUUUACUUUUGAUUAAAACAAUGAGAUAUGUAGCCAAUCAAAGAUAGUUUGUCCCCCUCGAGUUAUUUUACAUUAUAGAUAAGACCAUGUCCUUUGAAGUACAAACAAGAUUUUUUGUAGAAGUGUAGAACCAUGCCCUUUGAUGUAGGCUUCAAGGUAUAAAGACCAAGUCUAAACAAAACAACAAACAUUAUUUCAAUGAAUAUUGGAAACCUAAACAAUAAACAACAAGUAUCAUUCCAAUAAAUAAUAGGAACCCAAACAAUAAACAACAAAUAUUAUUCCAUAAAAUGAAUAGAGGAAACUCAAACAACAUGGAAAUGGGAAUAGGAGCCAAAACCCUAAAACUAAGCGAGAGGGGGGGGGGGGGGGGGGACAAACCCAAUGAGAUCGGGGAUCCCGAUCGCGUUGCUUCUUUGUCUGAUCCUGUCAGUGGUACUUGGCAGCCAGUGCUCUCCCACCUGCUGCUUCGCUUCACGUUACUUUACCUGUCCCACCACCCUCCGUUGCUUCUCUGCAUACUCACUCCUAUCCAUUGCUUUCUACAUUUCCCUCGCUGACCAAUCUCCUGUUAUACAAUCCACGGGUUCAAGUUUUUGUUGCAUGGGAGAGCGUUGAUUGUGCGGAAGAAGCCAAGAGGUUGGUCGAGGAGCUGUUUGUGAGUUUUGUCGGGUGUGUGUGUGUGAGAGAGAGAGAGAGUGAAGGGAGCUCUCUGAGAUGGAGUACAGGAAUCUGGGACGAACUGGGUUGAAGGUGAGUGUGUUGAGCUAUGGCGCAUGGGUUAGCUUCGGUAACCAGAUUGGUGUUACAGAGGCCGCGGAGAUUCUGCAGCGGUGUCGGGACGCGGGCGUGAACUUCUUCGACAAUGCUGAGGUGUAUGCUAAUGGGAAGGCGGAGGAGAUUAUGGGCGCUGCCAUCAAGCAGCUUGGGUGGAAGCGGUCGGACCUUGUGAUCUCCACCAAGCUUUUCUGGGGUGGGAAUGGCCCUAACGAUAAAGGUCUCUCUCGCAAGCACAUCAUCGAAGGCGUUAAGGUGAGUCACGUUUGGUUGUUUUUGUGUUUUUAUGUGAUAUGUUUCGUCGUGUUACUCUAUCUGGUUGCCGUUCUUUAUGGAUUUUUAGAAUCAGUGAGGUACGUUGGUGCCCCUUUUCUUGUUGGCUCGUACUUCUGCAUUAUCUUUUGUGGAAUCCAUUUCUGCAAUCCUCGUUUUCGUGGUUUCUUUUUUUUUUAUUUAAUUUCAAAACCCAUGGAUUAAACAGAACUGCUACGACGAGAUUGUUGAUAGCAGUUUUACAUGAAUGCAGGCAUCGCUGAAACGCUUGGACAUGAGUUAUGUGGAUCUGCUGUACUGCCAUCGGCCAGAUCCCUCGACUCCAAUUGAAGAGACUGUACGAGCUAUGAACUGGGUGAUUGACCAGGGGUAUGCGUUUUAUUGGGGAACAAGUGAGUGGUCUGCUCAACAAAUUACGGAGGCUUGGGAAGUUGCCGAACGGCUAGGCCUGAUUGGUCCCGCAAUGGAACAACCGGAAUACAAUUUGCUUGUGCGGGAGAAGGUAAGGCCUGUUCUUGUUAUUUGUUAGUAGAAAACCACCAUAUCCAUUACGUUACAUUUUUGUGCGCAUGGUUGAAUUCCUUCCAUUCCACUCUGAUUUUAUUUUGGUUUGUAUUUUGAAAUUAAUCUUCUAAUUUCACUUUUAGUGUGAUGGAAAGGAUUUGUUUCUCUUGUAAUAUGCGGGGGAAGUGAUGCGGUGGAUAUGUUUUCAUGAUAGGUGGAAAAGGAGUAUGCAGUACUUUACAAGAACUAUGGAGUCGGUCUUACGACAUGGAGCCCGCUUGCAUCUGGUGUGCUUACAGGAAAAUACAUGAACGGCGACAUUCCCGAGGGCAGUCGCUUUGCGCUGGAUAACUAUAAGGUUUGGGAUUAAUGAUUUUGCUAUCCUUGCAGAACUAGACCUGGUGAUUUUUUUGUCUCUUGAGUAACUCUAGGGCAGAAUAUUGAUAGCUAAUUCGUUUGUGCGCAGCAUCUGGCAACCAAGUCCCUCGUUGCUGAGACUCUCGAGAAGGUAGAAGCUCUGAAGCCGAUUGCCAAGGAGCUUGACGCUUCUUUAGCACAGUUGGCUCUAGCUUGGUGCGUCAAGAAUCCCAAUGUCAGUUCUGUUAUCAGUGGAGCCACCAAACUAGAUCAGGUACUUUUAACUAAAAGAAUACGCAUUGUAACAAUUUACUUUGGAUUUGUGAAUUUCAAUUUUUUUCUGUAAUCAAGACAGUCUGCCUUGUUUGAAACCUUAAUGAUCGUUGCAUUCAUUAUAUCUAAUCCUCAGGUAGUAAUAUGUAGUCUUUAUUAAGUUUUGGUCUUGCUAUGUGUAAGAUUGUUUUGUGGAAUGAAAGUGAAACUGCUCUUAAUAUAUAACAUUUGUCUCGCUUGUUUGUGUUGGUCAAAUGUGCAGGUGGUUGAGAAUAUGAAAGCCUUACAAGUUGUUCCCAAGCUCACUCCUGAGGUGAUGAAGAGAAUUGAUGAAGCAAUCAACUUAAAGGCAUCCAAGUAGCUUCACAGAGAAAAUGUUUCGAACCGUAGAAAUCUUAAUGUGCAUAUCAUUUUGUCCAAUCGACGGAUUAUGAUUAAACUUUAAGAGGAAUCUUGAAGAUAUUUUUUCAGUCCAUUUUAUUUGUUCGUAUCGCCUCAAACACAUAUUGAUUGCAUGUACAAUAUUUUACUAGCAUUCUUUCGGUGAAAUGGCUGGAUUUAUUAUUGAUUAGGGAAAGCUACUUUCAGAAGGAGGAACCAGGGAACGCUUCAUGAUAAUCUGGUGUAGGCAGUUUAUAUUUAUACACACAGCUAUAUAUAUAUAGAUGUGUGGGUGUGAUUGUGUCGUAUGUAUUCUGAUGUUAUUUGCAUUGGAAUGUAACGUCUUCUCAACAUAGACUAGAUUCAAUUUUGUAGUACAGUCAGAAAAGUACAACCUUAGCUGUCCUACGAUGUAUUAGACAGGAAAAUCGAUUGGAAUGUCACUUGGAAGUGGGCGAGAUACUGUGCAAUUUCAGACAUUUAUCUCUUUUUAGUGUAUACUUAAUUCUUACACGUUUCGGAUACAUGCUGUACAAUUCCUGUGCACUAGUGUCCGCCUCAAUUUAGCGUAGACAGAAGACAGCGGUCUCACACCAACCGGUAUUGCAACAAAAGAGUGUAAAAACUUCCGAAAGUCGUGUCUGUCAACCAAGUAUUUGAAAAGUUCCUCCAAAAAGCAUGAACUGGUGCCUGUUGUUGACACAGAAGCUUCCUUCAGUUGACUCACUAACUGCAGAAUAACUAACGGACUUUGCACAACCAUGCCGUGAAUGCUUUUGGGCACAUCCACAGGGACAACCCUCACUUGAGUCACUUGAACAACUGUUUUCUGAAGCUGCUCAUUUUAAUCUUCCACAUAAUUCCAACCUUACUGUUAAUUGUAGAGAUUUUUUUUUUUUGCGAACUCGCAGUGACUUGCGUGGAUUUCAAUGUGCACUUUCUGAUUUGAACAUGAGCAUUUGUAUUUGAGUCAGCUGUGGCGGCCUUGCAGUCUUUCGUCACCCAUACAACUUCGAAUCAGGUUGAUUCAAGGAUUUAGUUGGUCAUGGGCUUGCUAUCCGUGCACGCUAGUCAAUAAUCCAACUGCCUACUGAAAGUUCCGCUUGAAGGUAUUCAAGCCUACAAGUAGGGGCAACAAUCUACUGAAGCUUUUCUCUAGUUCGGGAAGCAGUCGUCCCCGCCCCAGUCUUUGCUGCAGCAUUGGAAUCUCCGCCCGUGAAUUACAUUGAGUUCUUGGCCGAGUUCUGUGAUCGUAGCUAUGGUGGUAUCACAGGGUAUGACAACGAUGGCGAAGGUUUCUUCCAUGUUCUUCACAGGGAGUGGUGGCGAGGUUUGGUCGUUUCCCCCUGCGUUUGCCACUGUUGCUAAGCAAAGGAGGCUUAGAGUGAGCGCAGUGACGAGCGCGGAUGCGAAAACCAUCUCUACGAAGACGUCAAACGCGGCAGCAAAGGUCAAAUCCAUAACGGCUCGCCAGAUUAUCGACAGCAGAGGGAAUCCCACCGUGGAGGUGGACCUUGUCACAGACCGCGUAUUCCGAUCCGCAGUUCCCAGUGGCGCAUCCACCGGCAUUUACGAGGCCCUGGAGCUUCGUGACGGAGAUAACAAGGUAUUCGGAGGCAAGGGCGUGCUCAAGGCUGUGGACAAUAUCAACAAUGUCUUGGCGAAGAAACUUGUGGGACUCGAUACUCGGUAAUGCGUACAAUUGUUGAGCGAAACUCAAGCAUCUGUUGUUUAUAAAUUCUCUCUUGCAAGAUCUCUCAUCUGACCAUGCUGAGACACUGCACCAUGUCGUAGGAACCAGAAGGAGAUUGACAAUAUCAUGCUGGAUCUUGACGGCACUCCAAACAAGGGCAAGCUCGGUGCGAACGCCAUUCUGGGCGUGUCGCUAAGCGUAUGCCGCGGAGGAGCUCAUGCGGAAGGCCUGCCCCUGUACCGACAUAUCCAGGCGAUCUCCGGCACGAAGCAACUCGUCAUGCCCGUGCCCGCUCUCAAUGUCAUCAACGGCGGGAGUCACGCAGGAAACAAACUAGCAAUGCAGGAAUUUAUGAUUCUUCCCGUGGGAGCAUCGUCGUUCAAGGAAGCCAUGCAAAUGGGCUGCGAAGGUAUUCAAUCUAGCCUAAAUCUCUCCCCACUCUUUUCUUUCCUCUCCGUCUUCUCGCUCAGAAUAACGACCCUCUUCUGUUUUUUGUUUCUUUCAUACAAAAUUUCAUAUAAGUUUUGGUUUCGGGGUUCUUUAAAUGGCAGUGUACCAGGUACUCAAAGGAAUUAUUAAGAAGAGAUAUGGGCAAGAUGCAUGCAAUGUGGGUGACGAGGGUGGCUUUGCACCCAACAUCCAAGACAACCGAGAGGGGUUGGUUCUCUUGGUGGACGCCAUCGAGAAGGCGGGGUACACAGGCAAAGUGAAGCUAGGGAUGGACGUCGCGGCUUCUGAGUUUCUGACCAAAGAAGGUCAAUACGAUCUGGACUUCAAGGAGGAACGUAACGAUGGCAGCAAGGUCCUAUCAGGGCAUGCCCUGGGGGAGCUUUACAAGGAGUUUGUGCGAGAUUUUCCCAUUGUCUCCAUCGAGGAUCCUUUCGAUCAAGACGACUGGGCUUCGUGGAGCGCACUUCAAGCAGGCCUUGAUGCGCAGCUUGUGGGUGACGAUCUCCUGGUUACGAAUCCCAAGAAAAUUGCUGAAGCUAUUUCGAAGAAGGCUUGUAAUGCCCUCUUAUUGAAGGUAUCUAAUUACAGUCUUUCACUUGGAUCGUGCACAUGUAGCUUAGGAAUCACCGUAUGAUGUUUGGUUCUCAUUCGGUGAAUUUUCAUGCAUUCAGGUGAACCAAAUUGGGUCUGUGACGGAGUCGAUUCAAGCUGCUUUGGACUCUAAGGCAGUUGGAUGGGGUGUUAUGGUCAGUCACCGAAGUGGAGAAACGGAGGAUAAUUUCAUUGCUGAUCUUUCCGUGGGUCUCGCGAGUGGUCAGGUACAUUUCUUUUGCAAUGUAAUAUCAAGCUUCGCCGAACAGUACUUCUGCGAACUGUAUGCUUUGGACCGUCAUGUGUUCCGUCUGCUCAUCAGCAUAGAAAUUCUAUGUCAUAGCGGCUGUUCUUCAUUUCUCUUCAUAAAGGUGUUGAAUCUAGACACCCAACUGUGCAGAUUAAAACUGGAGCUCCAUGUCGGAGUGAACGACUGUCCAAGUAUAAUCAGGUACAAACUCUAAUCUCUUUCUUGUUGUAUCAUUGUCCUGCUCACGUUUCUGUAUCAAUUAUUGUCCAAAUACUUCUCCAAUUUGUGCGUAAUAGAGUUGUUUAAAGUUGAAACGUUUGAUGACUCUAUGUCCUGAACAUGUUAUCCACUCGGACGUCAUGCAGUUGCUGCGAAUAGAGGAGGAGCUUGGCCGCGUUCGAUACGCAGGAGAAAGUUUCCGACAACCUCUGUAGACGAGGUGUUAUAAAUUUUAGUACUUUUGAAUGAACAAUUGAGUGUAAACCUUGUGCAAGAUUUUUAAUUCGAUGACUUGUGCCUGAUAUAACGAGAGGAUUGAGUUAUGCUUCGGUUUAGCAAUCAUACUUCAAACUAGAGUUUCUCUCCAGGUCUGUUAUUAACUACUAUUCGUAUAGAAUUCCCAGAGUUCCACUUGUCUCUUUAAAUCAGGACGGAGGGACAUGCAUGAUUCCUGUCAACACGUUAAUAAACCACUGACCACAUACGACUGAUUAGCAAACGACAGCUCGGUUCAGGCACAGUAAGUCUUGUCAUUUCAUCAUGUCUUGGUCUCCUGUUGUCAUCAAACAUUUCUGUUGAGCUCUUGGUCGUGUAAACUAUUCCCUGUCGAAUUCUGAAAGUGUGCCAAGAAAUCGGCUGGCCAUCAAGUAGGUCAUCAGGGAGUCAACUUAUAGAUACUUGCUCACAUGAGUGACCCCAUGAAUUGAAACCAAGCAGUUCUACACAAAACUGUCUGUAAGGCCUCAACAAUGACCUCAUCUCUCAAGAGCCAUCUUUGGGCAAGUUGUUGUGGGCUUGAAGUAGCUUGUUGGAUUAGAGUUGCAGCAUGUCAAAGAGACAUAGUUUGCCAAGGCCAGUGUUAUUAGGAGUGGAAGGAUGGGUUGUGGCACAACAAUUCAAGCCAAGAUUUUCUUGUCUCCAGGUUAGGAAAAGCCAUCUUGGGAUUAUUCAAUAUGGAGUUAGUUGGUGUUAAUAUUUGCUUAGUUUAAGAGGUUAAUGAGAAAGUCACUUUAAGAAGUUUGUUCUUUAUAUCAAGGGUAUAACCAAAGUUGUAACUAGAGGAAAUCAAUCAUAGGAACCAAUAAUAAAUGUAAUAUUAAAUAUUUUAAGUUGUACUUAGUAGAAAUUAAUCACAUUAUAAAGACUUAAUUUAGAAUUUGAUAUGUAUAUUUCUAUAUAUAUCUACAUAUCUAUUUAAAAGAGCAUACAAUAAAAUAAUGAGAUUCAAGUUGAAUUGAUGUUCAUACUAAAAAGAAGAUUUAGAAAGAAAAGUGGUAAGUAAAAUUUAAAAUAUAUUAGGAGCCAAAAAGAUUUAUAAAAAGAAGGAUUUUUUGUAAUGCUUUUCUUAUUAGAGAAAUUAAAUAAAAAAUGAAUAUUUAUUUUUUUAUUUUAUUUAUUUAAAAAUUUUCAAAUUAUAAAAAUCAAUCAUAAGUAAAAAAAUAUUAAAUUAAGAUUAAUUAUUUUUAAUUAUAAAAAAAUAUAAAAAUCAAAUAUAUGGUGAGAUAAUUAUAAAAAAAAAUUAAAAUAUAAGAUAAAAAUAUUUAUUUUGAAAGUACAAGAAAAAAAACUUAUUUGUACAUUUAGUUGAAUUAGCUUAAUAAUUAAUUAACUUUAUAAACUUAAAAAAAUAUUUACUUAAAGUCAAGUGAAUAAUUUAGUUAUUUUUUCCUUGAAAGUCAUUGUACUUUGUACAAAGAAUAGUUUGUAUAAGUUUAGACAAAUGAUACUUUUUACCUUAGAAGUGUCAUCAUGUUGAGUGCGGAGGGUCAAUAUUUGGCACUAAAGUCAUACAUCAAGGUCUUAACUAUAAAUCUUUGGAAUGUUCAAAAGUUGCUCACUUUUUUGAUAAUAUGACCAAAAAAAUCAAGAUCCAAGAAAGUUCCAAAUGCAUCUAUUUUUGCUACCAUUUUAACAUUCUUUUUUAUAGCAAUGUUAUAAAAAAAAUGUUAAUGCAUAUUUUGGAUCUAAUGUUUGACCAAUUUCAAUCUACUAUAACAUCUUUAAGUUCCAAUACUCUUUUCUACUUAGGCAUGUUGAAAAUCCUAAUGAGUAUUCUAUAUGAGCAUUGCAUUUGGAGAAUACUAUAUAAUAGUAAAAUUUUUAUAGUCGACUUAUUCUAUUCUAUCAAAGACAUAAAUCACAAAAAUCAAAGCAUCGAUACAUUCUUUUAUUACUUAAAAAAAUCAAAUAAUCAUUCAAAGAUAAUAUAAUAUUAAACUAGAAUGACUAUUAUUAAAAAUAAGAAUAUUAAAGGCUCUUCAAAUAAGAUUAAAGACAAGAAGGAUAUUGACAAAAGUGAAGAAGACUUCAAUCUUGCCUCUAUAUACUAACUAUAAGCUGUGUAACAAUGUUCUAUAAGACCUUUAAUAUGUGUCCAACUUGCAAGAUAUGUAUCUAACUUGCAAGAUAAGUCAUUAAUAUAUACAAUACAUAGCCAACUUAUUGGACAAUUUUUCAACCUAUUGAACACCUAUAAAUACAUAUAAGAUCAAAUCCACAUCUAUGAAGCUUCUCUAUAAGAUUUUAUCAAAUUUAUUCACUUCUAUUUACUUCUAUUUAAUUUCUUUAAUCUAGGUAAAUAUAUAUGUCCAUAACAAUUUCACAUUGAAGAAUCUCUUUGCAAAUUAAAAUAUAAUUAAGCAAGUGAUUUUAAAGAAGAAAAAGUCAUUUUUUUACUUAGAGGUAGAAAUUAGAUUUUUGAAAGAGGAGAUGAAUAAGAAAAAAAAUGGAUUUGAAAAGAAACUCUGAGUUAUUCCUCUUAUAUGUAUGUUGUCUAUACAAUCAAAGUUCUAUGAAUCAAAAAGGGAGGACUAGAGGUUAUUAUCAAAAAAGAUCAAAUUCAAUAAAGUAGAAGAUGCAUUAUAAGUCAUUAAUAAUUUACAAAAAUAAAAAUUGAGACAGCUACUACUACAAUGAUAGACUCAACUACUAGACAAUCCUAUAAAUCAGUAGAUGUGAGCAAAAGUGAUUUAAACUAUUGAUAUUUUAUUGGCUAGCUUUUUAAAAGCUUUAUAGACUUUACAUGUAUUUAUAAGUGAUUGAUAGGUUGACAAGUUGGUUACAUAUUGUACAUCCAACCACUUAUAUUACAAAUUAACCAUGUUGAGCAUAUCUUAGAAACUUAUCUUAUAAAUCACAUAUAUAGUUUAUAUAGAAGCAAGAAUAAUGUUUUCUUCAGUGUUGUUUAUGCCUUUUUUAUAUUCUAUCUUGAUUCAAGAGUUUUUAGUCUUUUUGCAUUUGGUAAUAGCCAUUCUACUUUCAAUUCUAUAUGUAUCUUUAAUUGUGUAUUUUUUCUCUUAAAGUAAUAUAAAAAUAUAUUUUUAUUUUUAGAAUUUUAUUGUAGUUCAUGUUAUUAAUAACUAAUAUCUAUUUGAAAUAUUUUCUUCUCUUUGCACAUCUUUUAAAUAAUAUAGUUCUAUUAUAAUAUCUUGAUUGAUUUUUAGAAGUAAUAAAAUUUAUUAUUUGAUAUUUUAUGAUCUUGUUUUUAUGUCUUUAAACCAACAACUUUUAUUUGAUCAAAAUUAAAAGAAUUAAAACAUGUUAUGAAAAUAAACCAUUAAUUAUAAUUAGAUACACUUUUAAACAAUCUAUGCACUUUUGUGUUUUAAAAAUUUGUCAUCUUUAUUUUUAGUGAUUUAAAAGAAAAAUUAAAAUAUUUAAUUUUAAUAGUAUUGGUUUUUUUAAACUAUAUAAGGAUUAUACACUUCAUGUCCUUUAUAUUAAGUUUGGUACUUAUAUAAUUUAGUAACUUGGUUAGGAUUUACUUAGGAUUUUUUUGGAUUUAUUUAAGUUUUGUUUAGGAUUUGAUUAGGAUUUAAUUAGGAUUUGAUUAAGAUUUAAGUUUUUUAUAGAAUUAAUUUAAGAUUUCAUUAAGAAUAAGGCUUUUAUUUAGAAUUUAGGAUUUGGUUAGAAUUUGAUUAGGAUUUGAUUUAGGAUUUAAGAUUUAAUUAAAAUUUGAUUAAGAUUGGAUUAAAGUUGGUUUAAGAUUUAAUUAGAGUUUAUUUAAGAUUUUAUUUAAAUUUAUUUAAGAUUACAUUAGAAUUUAAUUAAGAUUUAUUUAGGAUUUUUAUUUUUAAAAUUUUAAAAAUAUUUCUUUAAGAUUUUUUUUAAAGAUUUUUAUUUUAUUAUUUCUUUAGGAUUUGUUUUUAUUUUUUAUAUAUAUAUAUAUAUAUAUAUAUUUCUUUAAGGUUAAUUAUGAUUUCUUUAUGUUUAUUUUAUAAUUUUUUUAAGACUUUUAGAUUUGAUUAAUAAUUGAUUAGUAUUAUUAAGAUUUGAUUAGAAUUUGUUUAGAAUUCUAUUAGAAUUGUUAGGACCUUAUUAUUACAAAUCCAUUUUAUCUUCUAUAGUCAGGUGCCUAGUGCAUUCUUAAGCAAACUUCAUAAAAUACAACAUGUUUAUAAUUGAUUGAUAGGUUGGAAACUAUGUCAAUAAGUUGAUCACGUAUUGAACAUAUUAGCAAUUUGUGGUACUAGUUGGCCAUGUGACAAAUAUAUAUCAAACUUCUCUUAUAAGUUAGUCAAUUGUCUUAUAAGUUAGAUACGUAUUGGAGGUCCUAUAAAUUGUCGCCUCAUAGCUCCUAGUUAGAUAGUAUAUAUGGAAGCAAGAGUGAAGCCUUCUUCAUUCUUUUUAAUGCCUUUCUUGUUUUUAGACUUAUUUCAAGAGUCUCUAGUCUACUUAUCUUUGACAAUAGAUAUUUUAGUUCUAAUACUAUAUUAUUUUAAAGUAAAUAUUUACUCUUUUUGAGUGAUACAAGAGUGUAUUGAGGGUUUUAUUGUUUGUAAUUCAUGUCAUUGGUGCUUUGCUAAUUAAGCAUAUAAAUUUUUGAAUCCAAUAAAAAAUAUUUUUAAUACAAUUUGAUUUUUUUUCUUGUUGUAUUUUAUAAUUUUAUUUUAUAAAUAUCUAUUUUAAAUUUAUAUAUUAUAAUAUUAAUAUAUUUCUUUUAUAUAUAAUUUCUUGUUAUACUUAAAAUUAUCAUUUUAUUCCAAGACAAUAAACACUAUGAACAAUGUUAAAUAAAAAAGUUGAAACUAUUUAUAUGAAUAAAUAAAAAGACAAUGGAUUUUUAAUACUCUAACUUUAGUUGAAAUUUUUAUUUUUAAAAAAAUUCUUAGAGAAUUGACAAAACUUGCUAAAGGAAUUAAAAUAGAAUUAGAUUCUUAUUAAUGAAAUUAAUAUUUUUACAUUAAGAUAUAAAGUUUGAAAAAAUAUAUAUAAAUAUAAAUUAGAAGCAAUGGUUGAAUAGAAAUAAAUUAAUUGUGGAUAAUUUGGCAAAUCAAAUAUUUUCUAUGCUUAUAAAAUGUACUCAAUAUAUAUUUUAAGAAUAUAUUUUAAGAAUAUAUUUGAAAGAAUUGGUCGAAGAGAGAACUUAUGAGGAGAACAGUUAGUGGACAUAAUUCAUAAAUGUAGAGUACAGUCCACACAACUUAGUCCAUAAACUUGUGGAAGAAGUUUUAAGCUUUGCAACUGUAGAAACAUAUACAAGGUAACUGUGAACCCGAUUUUCUUCAGUUGCAUCAACUACGUGACAACUGAUGUUCUUGCACUUACAGCGUCUCCGACAAAUAUAUAAGUAAAUCAUGUCAGCUUUUGUCUAUUUGACCAGGUACAUGCUAUUUAACAGUUCAAGGUAAAUCAGAGACUGGAGGACUACAUAAAAGGGUUUCACACAAAAGAAUAGAAGGCACACAUCUAGGAGAACAUAUGGUAGAAUGUUGUGCAGAAAAGUAGUCAUUGAUCAUUAGAAACUAUGAAAAACAGUAAAACAAUGACCAAAAGCUUCCAGUGAACAAAGUCUCCGCAGCUCCGACUACGAGAAACUGUCAUAUUGAAACUCACUCCAUUAAAAAAUAAAAAUAAACAUCAAAUGGUUAUCAAAUUAAAAAAUGAUUAUAAAUAUUAUCCUUAUUGUUCCAAAAGUAGAAUCUGAGAAUCAAUCUCCUGCAAUUCUACCUUCAUGUUCUGCAAAAAUCGAGGAUCUUUCGCUAAGCUAUCUUUAAAUUUUUCAUGAUCAGUUACAGCCCUCUUGUAAGUAGCUUCCAAUUUCUGCGCAGCAAUGACAAUUAGUAAGGUCAAACCUAAACGCUUUAUGAAGACUAUAUUGCUGUGAACAUGUUCAGGUCAAGUCGGAGGAAAAAGUUACCUUCUUGGCGUUCUUUGGCAGCUCUUUCCCAGCUUUAUUAUGAGUAGGGACACCUCGCUCAUCAAAAGCGAAGUCUUUAUACUCGUCUUUAGCCUUGAAAAGUUCUUGGGGUGCUAUAGAUGAAGCUUCGAGCUUUUCAAGCAAAUUUGCCUGUUACAAAGAUCCAGACCAAAAGUAAGAGUGGAUCAAGAGGGGAACUAGAAGGUAUAGAAAACAAUAAGUUAUUGCAGAAUACUAAAUCCAGUCAAAAUGUGACCAAUGUAUACCAAGGGUGUUUCUGGAAGCUAAUGCCUAGUAUGGUAUUUAGGAAGCACAAUCAAAGCAGCAUAAAAUAAAAGCACCCAACUUAGACCACUGAGAACUGUCUGAAAAGAUGCUAUUUUCCAUCUCUGCAGAGUACCCGAGAAGGAAAGGGGAGUGAGAAACAAGACCUUUUGUAGCCUUUUCUGUCGCAAGAUCCGCAAUUUUUCCUCCUUCAACUUUAGUCUCCGUUCAUCACGUUCUCUUUGCAAUAUCGUAGGGUCAUCCAAUCUCCACGUAGAGGUGUUGCCCGCAUCCACAACACAAACUCCAGCAUCAACCAUGUCCUCAUCUCGAACUUUAUCAGUAAGUUCCAUCAAACUUCCCUGAUCACCACAUCAAAAACAUUCGUUCAUGCUGCAUAAGCACCAGAUUUGAAACUAAUUCCCAUUGUACCACCUUCUGAAAUUAGAGGAAUCAAAGGAUUCUCAAACAAUAGUAGCACAACAUUCCAUUGAAUAACUCAUAGAAAUGGAAAAAAUCUUACCCCGCCUCCUCUCUCUUGAUGUCUGAUACAGCAUAACAUUCUAGGUACAAAUUCUCACACCAGUCUUCUGAAUCAAUCAAAAAAUGCUUGAACAUCAGAGUGUGUUCCAAGGAAAACCCAAAUAAUACCUGAGAAGCACCACUUUUCACAGCGGACCUCACUUUAUCACGAAGUGACACCCAUCCCUCUACAUAAGGAGCCUGCACAUCCACCAAAACAUAACCGACUCAUAAAAAUGACCAUUUUCAACAGAAAGAAAUGGAAAGAAUGCGCUUCAUCUUUACUCAACAAAUCCUGGCUUUAAACAACCACAGCCAUGUAAGGAUAACAGGGUCCAACUGGCCUGCACGAUAGUUACUGCUAUUUCAAAAACAACUCCUGUUCCAAUGUAGCUCCUGUGAAGGUUUUCACGAAUUCUGCUGCCACAUCUUAACAAGAGUUUCAGAACCGAACACAGUUGAGAAUCUCAAAUACAUACCACGACUGUUGCAAGACUACCAGUUGAACCGACUUGGCUAGUGCUGUUGCCGAAGCCAAUCUCACAGAUCUUCGCAUCACUUAACCCUGUUAGGAUCGGUCAAGAGUCAGUCAAGCAAAUUGAUACGUUCCGGGUAAGUUCAAACAAUCCAUCAAAACAAGUCCAACCAGUCAGGCAAUUAGAGGCGUCACAAGGAAACGAUUAUACACAGAGACUGGAUCCACUAACACAUUCAGCAGGAAAAACUCGCCAAAUUCAUGACCCUGGCCACCUAUUCAUAUCCAGUUUACAUUUCUCUGCAACUGUCCUUGUCCAGCACAUUCUAAUACAAUUUGCACAAAGGAUGACAUGUUAAAACGAUGAACUUCAGUCCGCAAGCAAUGUGCGACUUACCGAACACUAUAAGGAUCUUGGUCACAAAAACUGCUGCUUUUUUCAAGAGUGAAGGUUGAGGUUUCCCGCUUGCCUGCAGUCACAGAGUUUGGAGCGAACACAACUCGAUACUACGUAUUGUUCCUGAACGUUCCGUAUUUCAUAAAGCAAUACCGCUCAGAGAGUAUAUACAGUCCGGGUGAACACGACGCAACGCGUAGAACCAUCAAAAGAAGCUCUCGACAAGCCAGGUUGACUUACCGAUUUGCACUUGUCGAUGUAAGAGUGAACGUCUCUGACCAAAGAAAGCAACUCUGAAAUAGCGCCCGCGGUAUCGAAAUUAUCUUCUAGUCGUUCCCGCACCUACAACAUGGCAACAUAAUUACCUCAUUCCGGACACCAUCAUCCAUGCAGGUAUAUCAAAUUUCUCCGAAUUGCAAGCUCAUAAUUUCCCACGUCACCACUACCCAAGAAUACAUUCAUGCAGGACAAUACUGCAAAUUUCACAACAUCCAACUUUGCGCAACCUGUAGGGGUGAAAGGUCACCUGAAUUUGCGCUUGGUCCACCCUGCUUAACAGUUGCUUCUCAUCAAGUCCUGGCCUUUGGACACCCUCCAUAGGCUGCCCACAUCAUUCAUAGAUGAUGUUUGAAUUUCAUUAACCACUCACACUUGGCCUCAACAACAGUUUCACCCUGUGGACACUAUGAAUAUUUCAUACUGCCAACCUCUGCUUUUCAGAGACACUAUACAAUAAGAUCUAUUCCAUUUACCAGCACAUUCAAAAACAUGCAACCUACUACAUGGAGCCUCAAAAUGACCGGAACUUUUCUAAAAGGCUUUGGCGUACAAUCAAAUCCUGCGGAGCUAAGGAAUGCACGUACAUGCUGCCUCAAAUGCGACUCCACAUUGGCGAAGAAGUUCUUCAACUGCUUCUCUUUCCCCAGAGCUUCGUUCACAACAGUUGUGCUGAAAUUGAUUGACUGCAAAAAUCGGAUACGAGUAUCAAUGUGCAUACAAUCAGCAUCCGUCCGCCCACAAAUAUAGCCUUUUCACACUUUCAAACACUCCACACUCUUCUGCCAUAUUUAUCAAUACGAGGAAAAUUAAAGGACAAGCAUCUUCAUCGAAAGACCGCAUAAGCAAUGCCACCCGCACACAUUAGGCAGUAGUGAUAACCUUGUCCCAGCUUUGGAUGACAAAAAGCGUACGUAGCUGCCUCGCUGUAUACAUUGUCAAUGCCUGCUCCCCGAAACAUCACUCUAAGGUUAAUACUCGUACGCAUCAACAAUCCGGGGAAAUGUCACUUCAUCACAAAUACUUGUACAUCAGUGGUCAACGACGCAGAUCUCAAGAUCAUUUAACUGCAACAAACCAGCAACUAAGCACAUAUAAUAAUCCCUUACCGUCUUGAUUGUUAUGAAGUUCUUCAAAGACUUUGACAUCUUCAAGCCAUCGAUGGACAGAUGUCCAGAAUGAAAGAAGUAUCUGACCCACUGUGUUCACAACAGUCAGACACAAGGCUGUCAAGCCUCUGACACAGUACUCCGACCCAGGGACACGGCACCUCAAAAUCCUAACAGCUUCCAAAAAACCUUCACGAAGAAUGAAACCGAAUGAAAUGAUACUCAACAAAAAAGAGUCCUCAACAGCUGCAAAUACAAGCAGAUAUCACAGAUUCACAGGCUGUAACACAAUCACUUCAUGAACAAAACACAUUGACGAAGAAAACCAUUUCAAAACAUACUCAGUUGUACAAACCGAAAAAUACAGCACAUACUUCAUGGCAGUGGAAGUAUGCCUCCGAUUGAGCCAGCUCAUUGUCAUGAUGUGGAAACUGCAAAUCACUACAAAAGACAAGGCAAUGACAAGAUUCAACAUCUGCUUACCCGAAUGAUGAUAAAGAUAUCAAUAACACAAAAAAACAGAAACAUAUAUAUAUAUAUAUAUAUAUAUAUAUAUAUAUAUAUAUAUAUGAAAAACUGUCAAAUGAAAACAUACAAUAAGAUCGCUUUCAUCCACGUAAAGCAGAAAAACCAGAUGUAAGUCACUCACUGUCCUCCAGUAUGGAUAUCUAUGCUAUCACCCAGUAUGUCACUGGCCAUUGCCGAACACUCAAUGUGCCAGCCUGGACGUCCCGGGCCCCAAGGAGAAUCCCAUGAAGGUUCUCCAGGCUUACUUUUCUGGGCCAUCCAUAUGUUACAACAUCGCGUCAACAAACGGUCACACAUACAAGCUGACAAAUCCAUGCUGCACAUCAUUACAUAGCUCCUUAUCAAUAUAGAUCAAAGCAAUCAAACUCCUCUCAUUUCUCCCUACGUGACGUCCAGUUUGAGACCACUCACCUUCCACAAGGCGAAAUCGCAGCUGGUUCUCUUUUCAGAAGUGUCAAAAUUCGACUCACUCUCCGAAGCCAACAUUGAGCUGCCUACAGCAGCUGGGUUCAAUUUUCCAUAGCGGUGGCCUGCCUCUCUGCAAAAGAAAAACGGUCACAUUUAGAUUCUUUGCGUUUCUCUGUCCUUCACAUGCCGUGUUUUGCACCAACCCUUGUAACGAUAACAAGAAGGAGAAACAAAAAUAACAAAAAGAAACAGAUUAGCAUGCAAAAUCGCACCAUAAAUCUGCCAUGAUAUCAAAUCUGCUCCUUCAAUCUAUUACUCUUUUACCUCACCCAACUAAACCGAAGCCAUAGGACACUUGACAUGAGAAGCAGGAUGACGUACCUGAAAGCUCGCGUAUCGAAAUACACGCUCUCGUUCGCCACAUAAGCAAAUUUGUUCGCCACAAUGACUUCCACGUAUUCAACAAUUUUAUCCAUAUACCUGCCACAGACAGCGCCCGUAUCAUUGUGCCUCUGCGACUUGCGAUCGACUCUUGCGACUAAGUUCAUCACUCAUACCGUCAGAUCCUGAUGCGCCUCUGCAGACACAAGAUUACAUGUCCUCCGAUAAGAUCAAAGGAGGAAAAAUCUCGCUGUUCAUGGAACUACACAAGACCCUUACUCCGCAUGACGAUACUAACUCUGUAAACCUCCCAAACAUGCGAAAGGCAACUCCCUGGAUCACCUUCUCAACAAUCACUGCCAAUAAAUAACUCGUCGGAACAUACAUAAGUUCAUAUACCCACGCAAGUUAGGUACACGGUUUCUCGGCAUCCCCUGGCUUACUCCAACGAUUGGAUCAGAUCAUACUUACUCAGUCACUCUCACAAGGACGUCAGGAUAGCCGCACCCCAAGGCACUCAUAUCAUCCCAAAACUCAUUUUCAUACCUGCACACCCCCAAAAAGCAGUACUUGUCACUUGCCAAACUCAGAGGUCCCACAUAUAAGGCACCCCUCCAACUAGCGAUAUGUGGGUUCACAUGAAAAGUGAAGCUCACACAGUUUCAAGGCGCCCCAAAUGCUACUAUCUGAGAUACGCGUAAUGCACCGAAAAGGGAAACCACGUCCUUUGCAUCACAUACUCAUGGACUGAACACCACAGCAUUCAGCUUUGUAAACUUCGAAUUGAAACCAAGCCCAUGAGCGAAUGCAUUACUUCAGUGUGUGACUUUUGUAAAUGGCGUGAUCCGUUACUGUUGCCCCUAGCUUAGCAUCCAAUUGAGAUGCCAAAUUAUCAGCUGCGUUCUGCCCUAAGAGCAUGUCAAUUCCUUCCUGUCCUCCUAAUUUCUUCGCUUCUUCUUUGAGAGCUUGCAGCAAAUCCCUUGCCUCUAUGAUCUUGGUAACUUUUAGCUGCUCCUGCUUCACCCUCUAUAACACGCGGACGCAGUAGAAUUACGUCUCACAUGACUAGAACUGAAAUGCACCGACUUGGAAGACUGCCAAAGUGACAAACGCUUCUGCUCGGUUCACCUCUCUAGCAAAGAAACACCGUAGAUACUUUUACGUACACAGUACCGUAGCUUCGAUCUGAUUAUUGCAAGAAGUGCAACAUUCAGAAUUGUUCACGUUUGCUGUACUUAGAAAUUCAAGUGCAUAUCACUUACAUCUGCUAACUCAUCUUUUUGUCUCGACAAGGUGGCCUUAGCAAAUUCCUCUCCCGUCUCCGAGAUCUGCAACAAAGCCCAUCCGGGAAAAUGAUGAGUCGGGAGUGACGCAAUGUCAGAAGCGGUUAUGGAGUACAUAAUGCCACUUCAAUAUCCAAUUCGAUGUUGCUUCUCAGGUGUAACCAGGAUACAUGACAGGCAGAAGGGAGUGAACCUUCUUCUGCUGCUUGCCCAGUUCCUCCUCCACAGCUCUUUCCAAGUCUUCAAUCACCUGAGUCCCCAUCAACCCCUUAGACAUGGACAACACAAACACGCACAAGACCACUCACUUCAACAGUAGUGCACGGCGCGUGAUUCCCAGGAAAUCUACGCACCUUGUUCAGAUCAGUUGCAGCACUGCGAUACUGGUCCAUCAAAUGAUUUCUCCUCGCACGGUUGAUAAUCUUGUCAUCCACGUCGGUGAUGUUCAUUACGUACUUCACAUCGUAGUGGAAGUAAUCCUGCCGUUGCACAGCAACCGGAUAAGCGAGUCUUGCCACGAACACUAACAACUACCCACAAAACCUUCUAAAGCAGGACUGCAAUCAUACCUCAAGUAUUCAACGUAUGAUAUCAAACGUGACAUAAUUCCUGGCGUGUCCGAUGUGGGACGAGUCGUACACAGUUGGCCCGCAAAUAUACCAAGUCACUGCCACACAAACCAGGCCCUCCCAUCAAAUCGUCGAAAUGAUACAACUUCUAAACCCUGAGCCCUAAUAAUUUCGCCAGGGUCCCCAACUCCUCGAACCCACGAAACUAACCACCUCCUCGAGCGAGCUCCUCAAUGCACCAGCGAUCAAGACGUACUCCACCCCAAAUCACCACCUCCCACUCACCGUUUCUAGAUCCGUCCUUAGUGACGAAUGGCACUUUCUCCUUAGCCAAAGAGUUGUUAACCAUCAAUCCUCUCCUCUCUCCUACAGCCGAAGCGCCAGCAGCAGCUGCCAUUGUUCUCGACACACAAUCGUCAAUGCCUCACUCGGAGGCGCGAGUCUGCAACUAAAGACUCAUGCGCGCGCAGAGUCACCAGGAGAAGAGUUAGAAACGAGACUUUGGGGAUGAAGUGCUGAGAGGUGAAGGGGUGGUAAGCAUCAAACUGUUGGGAACCGAUAGACUCUGGGUUCAGCGACAAAAGGGACAGCAAUCACGACAGUGCUCUAAACACACCCCGAAAUUGCGUUUUCGAGUUCUGCAACGAAAGGGGUGGGUGCCCACAAAGCAGUGCCGUGGGGAUGACGUUGGCGAUAAAUUCUUCCUCCAGUCACGCCCCGCGAUUCAUGAUCUGAAACCAACUUGCAAGCAGACAUUUGUAUGAAUGUUUUCAUCAAGUAAAGAAAUUGAUACCAAAGUACACAUAAAUGUAUAAAAUAAAAUAACAAGGACUUUGCCGGUGGAAAGAAUAUAUCAUUGGCUGGAGUUAGAUUUAAGUUCCUUUAACUGACGUUUCGGGUAUACUGGAACAAAUUCAUCAUGUUUGUUGCAUUAGAGUAGCAGUCACUGAAACUGGAAAGUUAAAAAGCAACUCGUUCUCGAAUGGGAAAUAUAGAGUUAUAGACAUUUUUCCCCUGAGGGAUUUUAUGUAUAUUGUGUGUCAAUUGAAUGACCUCACAAAGUCGUAAUACAAUUGGGAUCCUGACGUUGUUGCGAGUGUCAGAAUAACUGACACAGAAGUCAAGUGCUACCCUGACGCCAAGACUUUGCAGACGUGUACCCAAAGUCCACUCACUCACUCAUUCAUUCAUUUAUAUAGAGAGGCUUGGGCAAAAUUGUCUUGGAUUUCGCAACAAAGUGGGAAUAAAAUCAAAGAUAGAGUCAACGAACAGAUGUUUUGUCGAGGUCUGAGCACUGGUGGUCAGUUGACUUCGGUGGUCUGUGUCGGUGGAUUCGAUCUCUGAAUUGGACUUUCUCAACCCCUUCCCCACAGAAGAGUAUGCCGCAAAUUUGCGAAGUGCAAACUUUGGUUGUGUGUCUUCGGCGCCUUCAUAGGAGACUGAGUGGAUGGGCAUGAGCUGGACUUGGUGAGGUUGUUGGUUAAUAAUUUGGUAGCUUGACAUUUCAUGGCGUUGGCAUUUAUCUGAUACUAGGUAGACGUCAAGGGACACUGAAGGAAGGACACAUAAUAAUAAUAAUAAUAAUAAAAUCAUGCUAUCAAGGAUGAUGUUGUGCGAUGAGGGUGUAAUUUUGAUUGCAUGAUUCACCAUUCUUUGUACUUACCAACAUCAUAUUUCGACCUCUGAUCACACCAAUUGUAUUAAUGUACGCCUUACCUAUUUAUUUGAUGAUUAAGUUGUUAUGUAUAAGUGUAUAUAAUUAAGUUGUUGUGUAGGACUGUGUGUUUCCAUCCAAUAUUAAUUCCAUAUCUCUUUUCUGAUAUGUUUCUUAUCGUCCAUGAAUAGUCUCACCUAUUGGUAGUUGUUUAUAUCUAUUCUUUCAGUAGAAAUUGUGUAUAUUUAUUAUAAAAAAAAUUCAUGUUAGUUGUUGUGUGUGUUUGUUGCUUUAAAUUCUUUCUUUAAAAAUAUUAAUAUUUCUUUGACUCUUGCUGCCCAUAAACAAAUGCUUCUUUAUAAUUAAAAUAAUAUAAUUAAAUUUCUUAUUAAAAUAAGAUGAUACAAGUUAAUUUUAAAAAUCUAAGAAUUUUAAUAAUAUUCUAAUUUAAUACACACACACACACACACACAUAUAUAUAUAUAUAUAUAUAUAUAGAUAGAUGUGUGUAUUAACUUUAUCUAAUAUAAGUGUUAUCAUUAUUAUUUAUCUCCAUACUAUGUAUUAUAUUAUUUUAUUUUUCUAAUAAAAAAUAUAUAGUAAUAAAAAAAAUAUCAAUUUUUUUCUGCAAUAUUUACCAACACAUAAGUUAAUGUUUAGUUUUUUAUCUUAUUAAAUAUGAAUUUACUACAUAAUAGUGAAUAGAUUUUUUUGCACAAAUGUUUAAAACAUAAUAGUGCCCUAUAUAUAUAUAUAUAUAUAAUUAUAUUUUUUAAUUUUUAAUUUAUAAAUAUAGAUUUGAUUUUUUUAUUGUUAUAAAAAUAAUUUAAAAUUAAUUUAUGUAUAUGUUUUCAAUUCAAUAUUUUUAAGAAAAUUUUAAUUUUUUUUAGAAUACUAAAUUUUAAGGAUCUUUUUUAAUUUCACUUAUAUAUAUAUAUAUAUAUAUAUAUAUAUAUAUAUAUAUAUUCUAUUUGGGCUUUAAUAUCUCUUAAAGUCCUAUAAUUUAAUUGAUCUUUGUAUUAUUAUUUGUAAUAUCUGAUGAAUGUCCUUAAUAUAAAUAAAGAGUUGUAUUUUUUUAGAUAUAUUAAUUUAUCAUAUUUAGGAUUUAAGAUUUAUAUAUUAUAGAAUAAAUUAUAGAAUAAUAGAUAAAUUUGAUUAAUGUAUGAUUAAAAAAUAUACUUUAAAUCAAUUUUUUAAAUCUUAAGUAUUAUUAUAAGUAAAAUUUGAUUAUACAUAUAAGAUCUGUCUAAUAUAAUCAAUAUCCUUCAUUCUUUAUGCAUAUUUUUUUAAAAGAUUUUUAUAUAAAUUUUCUUUAAAAUACUUACUUAAAACUAUUUGGAAGAAGAUACAUAAAUUCAUAGAAUUUGUAUCAAAAAGAAAGUGACAAAAUAGAAAAAAAUAUGUAUAUUCAAGGAAGAACUAGAAUGGCUAUUGCCAAAGACUAGAAAACAUAAGACUCUUUAAACUAGACUAAAAACAAGAAAGGAGUUGACAAGAGUGAGGAAGGCCCCACUCUUGCCUCUAUAUAUACUACUUAACUAAGAAAUACAUAGCAAUAUGCUAUAGAACCUCUAAUACGCGUCCAACAUGCAAAACACAUGUCUAAUUUACAAGGCAAGUUUCAUAGGUGUGCACCAUAUGUCCAAGUUUUACUACAAGUGGUCAACAUGUCAACAUGUGGCCUCUUUGUUGGCUAAGUUUUCAACCUACUAAUCACCUAUAGACAUGUAUAAAGGCAAAGCAAUGUCUAUAAAGCUUCUAAGAAGCUUUCUAUAAGAUAUUAUUAUAUUUAUCUACUUUGACUUAUUUCUACUUAUUCUUAUUAUCUAGAUAAUUAUCAAAAUAAAUAUAUAUGUCCGUGACAUUAUCCCCCCCCUCUAGGAAUGAGUUUCAUAAGGAGUAAAGAUUACAUGUUGAUGAAGUCGAAGAUGUGCAAAACUAUAUUUGCCACGUAUUGAGAUCUUUGUUGCCUUCAAAGGUAGUUGAUAGGUCCUUUCAAUCAUCCAUAAUAUCCCAUACUAGAGCGAGAAGACUAUCCUAAUAUUUCAUCAUUAUUGAGGCCUUCAUAACUUCCUUCAAACAAAAUAUUAGUAAUACCAUCAAGAGUGGUUUCUAUCUCCAAAAGUAUCACUAAACACUAGGAGUUCCUUCUAAGGUCGUCGUACCAAACGUUUUGUAUCUUGCCAUCUAUUUAAAAAAAAAAUGUUAUUCUUGAAGGUCUUCAUCUCAAUUUUUCCAUCUCAAAGGUUGUGAUAGUCGCAAUGUCUCGUCUGGUAGCUCAACAAAUGAGAGCUCUUGAAUUGAAUCUACUUAUUGUUGAUUCUCUAUCUCCUAAGUACUAAAAAAUUCAAAGAAAAAAUGAGACAAGAUAGAAUGAAAUCUCCAUUGGGCUUACUUUAUUUUAUAGCAAAGAAUUUCUUGACUCUUCAUCUUAGUUUUGAUGGAUGUCAUUGAUGAAAAGCUUUAACUUUGGGUGAUGCAUUUUCUAGAUUCUUUGAUGGCUCCCAUGCACAUUCAUUAAUGUCAUAUCUAUGCCAAUGUACUAGAUAUUCUAACCUAUUUUGGUACCAACUUGAAUCUAAGACUUCUUCCACCUCAAAUUCUUUAUUAUUAUCCAGUCUAUAGGAGGUGGUGGCAUUUGUCUCCUUCCUUAUAUAUCCAUUGUCUUGUAUGGCUUAUGUAAAGACACAUGAAACACAAGAUGGAUUUUCAUAGACUCUGGUAGAUGUAAUCGAUAAGCAACUGGAUUGAUCUAUUCACAAAUGAGAAAUAGUCCAAGUCUAUGAUAAUCCAGCUUGUCACAAGGAUGAAUAGUUUUAAUGUUGUGAUAAAGUAACCAUACCUUAUCUCCUACAUGGAAUUGAGGUUAUUCAUUGUGAUAGACUUAUGUGUUAGCUUUUUGUCUUUCUUGAGCUUCCUUUAAUUAUGCCUUUAUUAUUACAUGUAGCUCUGACAAUCAAUUUGUGGUAUCUUUUGCUGUAGGAUUAUUAACUUUUAAAAAGUCAAAAGUGUCAAAUUAUGGAUGAUAACCAUAAUUGGCAAAGAAAGGUGUUUGUUGAAUAGAAGAAUGUAUCAAAUUAUUAUAAGAAAACUUUGCCAAUAGCAAAAGAGUUGUCUAAUCAUCUUGUUGAUAGUUGAUAGAACACUUCAAAUAUUAUUCUAAAACUUGAUUUACCCAUUCUGUAUGUCCAUCAGUUUGAAGGUGGAAAGCUGAAGAUAGUUUUAUAUUUACCUUUAAUAUCUUAAAAAAGGUUUUCCAAAAUCUCAAUAAAAAUUAUGUUCCUCUAUCUAAUAUAAUAUCCCUUGGUAAUCCAUGAUAGCAAUAGAUAUUGUCAAGGAAGAAUUUAAUUGUUUCUUCACUUGUGAUGUAUUUUGUACAUGGUACAAAAUGUGCCAUCUUGUUGAAACAAUCUAUAAUCACGAAUAUAGAAUCAUAUGAAUUUGAAAUUAGAAGAUUCGAGAUAAAAUCUAUAGAAAUAGAAGACGAUGGUUGUUCUAGUAUAGAUCGACCUAUCAUAGCAUUGGCGAGGCCAUGAAGGAGAAACCUCUGCUUCUGCCACUUGUUUUGCAGCAAUAUCCAUCAAAGCUUCAGACAUCCAAUGGCUCCUCUUCAAUAUAUGUGGGACUCAGCUCCUCCUUCCACACUCUUCUCGACCCAAUCAUCGCCUUUGUGGGUUUUAUCACUGCUAGAUCCUUUCACUCCGCACUUUGGGCCCAUCCCAUGCCCAAUUUGUGGAAUAAUCCAAUUCAUCGAAUUUGCACUUCCCACACAGCAAUUGCAAUGCAAUGGUGCUCGAUUCUGCACUAUAAAUCCACAAAAGUGUUACAAGCUUCUUUCACACAUUGUCGACAUUGUUUCUAUUUUUUUUUUAAUUAGUUAGUUUGUUUGUUUAUUAUUGGUUAAAUUAAUGUCAAUUUUCGUGCUAAAUUUUUCAAAUAAAAGUAAAAUUUUACAAUUUAUAUAUAGAUUGCAAUUCAAUCAAAAAAGAAAAUAGGCUACCAUUAAAUAUAAUCUAGUUAUAAUUUAGUAAUUUAUCAAGUAGAAGAAUGGUUAUAUUUUUAAUUUUAAAAAUAUUUUUUAAUUGUAUUAUUUAGUAAGAUUAUUUUUAAGUUGUAUUUCUGAUAUUUAGAAAACUUUUUUUAAAAAUUCUUAUGGAGAUCUUAAAUAAAAUGUGGUUUAUUUCAUAUACUUUGUAAGCUAUAUGGCAUGCAUUUCAAGUUAAUUAAAAAUUAACCUUUUGAAUAUUAAUAUUUUAUUUAUUUUUUAAAAAAAUAAAUAAAAAUCCAAUAUUAAAAUUUUAGCAUAUGAUUUUAUAUAUAUAUAUAUAUAUAUAUAUAUAUAUUUAUAUUAGAAUAAUUUUUUGAUUUAAUCAAAAUCUUUACAAAUUGAAAGAAACCUUCAUGUGCAUUUUGUCCACAUAUUAAAAAUAAUUAACUCUUAUUAUUAAAUCCAUAAUAAGUCCUUAUAUUGUGCAAAUUACAAUUGUAAACUUUAAGUUUGUAUUCCUAAUUGAAGAAUAUUUGAUAAAUGCAAAAAAAUCUAAAAUAAACUUGUAAUAGAAAAAUAUGUAUUUUUUAUAAUUACAAAAGAAUAUUAUGUGUAUCACAUGAUCUAAUUACUGUUUUUUUUAAAGUCUACCUAUCAACAUCUUAAAAUAAUUUUACAGAAAAUAUAAAUUAAUUCAUACUAAUCAUUUAUUUAUUUGUUUGACAUGAGUAUCAAGUAUAAAUUUUGCAUUAUUAACAAGUAUGAUUUUUCUAUUAUUAAUUUUAUAUAUCAAUUUUUAUUUUAUAGUUUAAUAAUUCUUUUUGUUUAUAUUAAUUAAAUUUUUUGAAUACAACAUGGAUUUUUUUUAUAAUCAUCUUAAUUCAUUAUAUUGGAUAAAUGCUAUUAUAAUUUAUAUGUAUAUAUAUAUAUAUAUAUAUAUAUAGAGGGAGAGAGAUAGAUGUUCCUUGGUUAUUUGAUAUUCCAUAAUUGAUACUCUUUACAAACCUUAAAAUAUUUGCUAGAGCAAAGAUUUGCUCUAGGUUGUAAAUUUAUAAUUCCUUAACUUAUAACAUUGCAUGACUUCUAAAAAUUGGUAUCUACCAAAGUAAUAAAUUAAUAUAUAUAUAUAUAUAUAUAUAUUUAAAAAUUAUUUAUGAUUUUAUAAACUUAAAAUAAAUACUCAUUUUUUAAUCUUUUAUAAUAUUUUUUUAUAAAAUAUAUAUAUAUAUAUAUAUAUAUAUUUAUUAUUUAUUUUUUUUGAUAUGAAGAAAAAAAUAUUAAAGUUCAAUACAAAAUUAUCAUAGGAAUUAUAAGGAUUAUUAACCAAAUCAUUUUGAUACAUGAAAUACUCACAUGUAUAUAUAUAUAUAUAUAUAUAUAUAUAUAAGAUAUUGCUAAUGCUACCAUAAUUUUUUUUACUACCACUACAAACCACCAUAUACUAUAUAUUGUACACCAAGCUGCACUUUUCUUAAUUAAAAGCAUUGUUUCAAAAGUUGACUAUACUAGCCAAUGACUCUUAAUUACUUCCAUUGGUUGCCACAUCCUUGAUGCUUGUGAUAAAAGCAAGGAGUUUGGCAAGUAUGGACAUGGAAGUAACAAUCGUUUCUAUGUUGGUGGCUAUUUAUAUAAGAAGAUUUAUCUUGGCGCCAAGACAAAUUUGUUUGUUAUUAGAAUCAAUACAUUGCUCCCACCUUUGCAUUUUUUAUUUUUUUAUUUUUUUAUUGUGCUUGAAGGUAUACAUGUUGGAAUUGGUUGAUAUUUAGCAGCCAACAUGAAUAAUUAAGAUUUUCAAACUAGUACAAUCAAUUUUGGUACAAUGUCACUAGUUGAAAAAAUUGCAUUAUGGUGUGUGACACAAGGUCACUGGCAAGUUAUGAUAGUAGUAGCAGAAAAACUUGGUGGUAGUAGCUAUAAUAUAUAAAUAUAUAAAUAAAUGAGUAAACUCUAAUUAAUAAUAGCUAAUUAUCCUUAAUAUUUUAAAAACCUAUGUUUAUAAAAUAAUUAUUUCAAUAAAUUUCUUUAUUUUCAAAUCAAAAUUAAUAUGAUUUUAAUUAUGAAUGUAAUUUUUAUUAAUAAAAAAUACCUUGAUAAUUUUUAUUUUUUAUAUGAUAGGCUCUCUUUUGAAAUUAAGUUGAAUCUUUUUUGACGGCUAUUUAAUCUUAUUGUAUUACAAACUUACAAAGAUAUUUUCAUGGCUCAACAUUGAUUUAGUAGAAGGUUGGAAUUUCUUUUUUUACAUAUAUCUGGAUGAGGCAAAUAUGAGAGACAAUCAAAGAAUUUGUAACAUCAUGUGCUACACAAGUCACAAUAAAAGUAAAUCCUCAACAUUUUCUUUUUCAGUGUUCACAACCAUUAUCUAAUUGAAAAAAAAUGCAGUCUUUAGAUUUUAGUAAGUAUUGUAUCACAUUUCUCUCGAUAAUAUUUUAAAAAUCCCUUUUUGUGUUUAUAGACACAUAACUACAAGCAUCGCUAGCUCUCACGUUAUCAUACGCUAAUUCCGUCUUCCCACUACAUUUCUGUUACAAUCCUGCUAAAACUUUGUGAUAACUUUUCCAAAAGUUUUUAUACUCAUUGUAAGUAAUUUCAUGCCAUUUUCUUCUUGCCUUAAAAACUUUAAAAAGUGAUUCAUGUGAAACCCCAUAUACAUAUCAAAAACAUUCCAUUGCUACGUUUACUGAUUAAACUAGACACCGAAAAAUAUGUACACACACACACAUGUAUAUGUAUCUACAAAAAUAGUAGAAUCACAGUGAAUUGUAGUACCAAGGGAAGAAGACCACAUCAAGUCAGUCUGAUAGUAAAUCAUGUGUACACACGAGCUUCUAUAACACUGCAUUUCAGCACCGGAAGGUUCACCAAACUCUUCACCACGCUGAUAAACAGCUUCUGCUAGCCUCAUGUCUCACACAAUAUCACAACGCUGAAUUUGAGAAAUGCUGUAUUCUUCAGCAAACUGAUCGACAUCAGAUUGAUGAGUUCUAACAAACGACGAUGGUGAUGAAGUCUCGUGAACGUGGGUACUCUGAGAGGUAAGAACCUGGUAUUCUGUCUAGAUGAUGGUGUGGUAGCUCCACGUCGGGGCAGUUCAAAACCUGUUCGCAACCUGCUUCGUGCUGUUGCAAAAUCAGCUCAGUUUAUCCUGGUCUAGUACUCUGAUCUUUGGGUUUUUGCACUGAACUUAGUGGUGCAUGUUGCGUUGUGAAGGUGGUGGAGAUAACUUCCUUCACUUUUUUCCCCUGUGGGUGUUAGAGACAGCUUCGGAAGAGCUCCAUAAACGACGUCCAUUGUCGAGCAAUACCGACAAAAUGUUCCCGUCAGACAGGGGGUUGCAUUAUUGGAUUGCAUUCUGGAUGACAAUAAACGACAAUGCUAACAUACAUGCAGUGCGGAAAAUCAGUUUUUGACCAGAUUUAAUUGUUCUUCAUUGCAUGGUUGGUAACUCUACACAUCAGGCUCUUGAUUUCUGUCCUGUCUCUCAACCAAUUGUGUGUAAAACCAUUGACACUUCUCUACAGAACUCGUAAAUGUUGGUUCGCGGCUUCAGCUAGCCUUCGGUCCUUACAUAGCGGCUCGUUAGCUUGUCUAUCUCUACACGGUUCCCAGCUCAAAAUUUGUGAAUGCUGGAUACUUUGUCUCUAAAUCCCUGCCAGCGAGGAUGAUCAUGUUCCCCAAUUGCUCUGAGGGAGAAGAAAAAUUAAAAAACAAAAAAAGAAUUGGCAGCAGAAAGUCAAGUCGGUAUUUUCGUGUCUUGCAGCAGUUUUCCCGAAAGGACCUUUACAAUUCAGGAUAACCAAAGAAUGAGAGCGCUUCGAUCGCGGCGAAUCAGCAAAGGGAUGAAGAUGGAAUUUAGUGCACCCUGAUUUUGUGUGAAAUUCUGGUUGAGAGAUCACGCUCCUGCACUUGCACUUGGAGCCCAUUGCUGAACUUGGGGACGGGGAAGAAGGAAACCGUCUCCUCACCACAACUCUUCAAGUCGAACUUCGUCACCAGGUGGUGCAGAAAAAUGCAGAUCUCGGCGCGCGCGAGCUCAGCUCCCGGGCAGUACCUCGGGCCGCCUCCGAACCCCAGCAAUGGCAACUUCUUAGCUGGGUUCAUCACUUCCUGCUCGUGGCGCCAUGGAUUGAACUCAGACGGGCGGUCGAACAAUGCGGGGUCGUGAUGCGCUUCUCGAAUUGCGCACACCGUCUUCCAGCCCUUAGGAAUCACGUACCCAUUCAACUGGACAUCCUCCGUUGCUUCACGCCACAGCAAGGCGACGGGAUUCGCAAGCCGCAACGUCUCGGUGAUGACCGACUGCGUGAAUCGCAUGUUUUUGUAAUCGUCCCAUGUCAGGCUCCCGCCUUCGAAUUUCGAGAUUCGAAUGUUCUCAUGCUCGGCCCGGAGCUCAUUCAGGACGCGGGGAUUAUCCAUGAUGUAUUUCACGGCGAACAGCAUCGCACUUGCGGCGGUCUCGUGGCCGGCGAAUAGCAUCCCCAGUACGUGACACCGAGUCUUCUCGAGCAGCAACUCCUCGGUGGUUCCAGGUAAGUUUUCUUUCCGCAUGUAGUCCAUGUAAUCGGCGUACUGGUCUUCGUCUCCAACUGGCCGCGCCUGGCUCACCACGUCUCGCUCGAGCGUCUCUAUGAUGCGCGCGCGCGCUUCGAGCCCUUUCCUGUAGUUGGUCCCAGGGAGAUUGAUUGGCAGCGCAAACAGCCCCUCCGUCAAGGUGUAGAAGUCGUUGCGCAGGGAAUCGUUGACGGGGCCUGAUUUUAGCCUCGAUCCAAGAAGAUAUUGCGCCACUACAUUGAAGGCCAACGUCUUUGUCUCCUCCCGGAUGCUCACGGAUUCUUUUGCUGCCCAAGGGUUCAGAUUCUCCAGCACAGCUUGCUCAAUCGUCGGAAUGCGCUCCCUCAGCAACUCGACGCGGAGACUGUUCACGAGAAACCGCCGCGUGCUCUUCCAUUGAUCUCCGUGGAGGCUCAGCGCGGCGUACUCUCCCAACACCUUGCGAAAGGAUUUCGGGUACCCAGUCACGAACUGCUUGCCUUCAUGGUUAAGCACCCACUUGAUCGUAUCGGCUUUCGUCGUGAUUAUACAAAACGCGCCCAUCAGCUUCGAUUUGAACAUCUCCCCGUACUUCUGUCGAUGCUCCGCCAUGAACGCGGGAGCGGAUGUCAUCAUACUAGCCAUGUAUUUCAGCGUCUCGCCAACGAGGGGCAGGCCAUACGACCCACGAGGCAAGCGCGUAUUAAUCUUGGCACGCUCUUCAUUCUUAGGCCAUAGCUGAGAAAUCAGCAAAACCGAGACGCAAACGAAUGCAACCGUCUCAAGCCCUUGCAGAAACAAUCGACCAUCCAUCUCGCUCUGAACACACAGUCCCCUUUCCAGAACGCCUCCCCCAACUUUCUCCCUCUCACCCCAAAGACUCACACAACAGUUCAUACAACAGCUCACACUGUUCCCUCCUACCACCCAACUGAUCACCUCCUCGCUGCCAAUCCACUCAAGUGACAGCGAAGCGGACACUAGAAUCCAACCUCGAAAGCAAGCAAUGACAAAACCACCGCAACAUCGAAGGUUUUAUAACAACCCAAGCAACAGGGACAUUGACCAGGGAGAGGGGGGGGAUUCUCGACGAGUAAGACUACCCAAAACUCGCAGUCUUAAAGAACCAAGUCGGAAACAGGGUGAAGAGGGCCUACGCAGCGACGGCAGUGCUAGGCAUGGCAUCCAGACAAGACAAGCACACGGCGAGAACGCACAAGAAGCAAUUCUGCGGCGUUUAUUCCGAAGGGGCGGACACGAGAGCUGCUCAUUCUCCAUUCCACCUCCACCCCCAUAAAGCUGCGUCAAAGUAAUCGCUCCGUCAACGCCUCACCGUCACCAACCACGCGCAGCCUCGCCAUCUCCGGGACUCCAUGACGCCGUCCCACGCUGCAAGCUCGCGUUUCGAGAGAGCCUGGUAAUGCUGCUUCCACAGUGGAGCCCCCACCCACGUCCACUGUAUUGUUGCCCACAUUCUUGUUUAACUUAGUUCUCAUGGUUUUAUUAUGUGAUUUUAUCUCCUCAUGGUUGUGGUAGUCCUAUGCUUAUUAAGAAAGGUCUCUUCUCAUGGGCAAAAUUGGGCACUUGGUGUAGGUCAUGGUUUGCCACAUGGCUGCCCCCACCUUCCACUUCCACUGUAUGAGUGUGUGUGUCUAGGUGGGUGUGCGCAUGGCCUUGCAUGUAUGUAGCACACAAUUUUUGUCUUUGGGUUUUCUGACAUGGUCAUGGUGCACCACUGUUUUGUCCAUGUUAUACCUGAGAAUGAGAAUGAGAGGUCCAUUCAUUGAAGCAGGUACUGACAAAGAAAUGAGAGUGAAAAAGAGACCAAGCCAUUUUUCAUGUGAUGUCGUGUUGUUUGUAAAAAGUGUUUGUUUUUGCAUGCCUUGAUUUAUCAUUGUUUAUAGUACUUAUAUAUAUAUAUAGAUAGAUAGAUAUAUAAAUAUAGAUAUAUUUUGAAGUACUUUUAUGAUAUUGGUGUAGUGAGUCAGAUUCUGUGAUAUUGGCAGCUUGUGUUCUGGAUAUCUUUGAUUUAAGGGAAUGGAGCCACUCCAUACAUGUCAAAAUAAUUUAAUAAUUUAAAAAAUGCAUUAAAAUCUUUGAUGUAAAGCAAUAUGUCAUUAAGUGCAGAUUGGGUUGACGGUUGCUGUGCAUUUGUCAUCACAUGGCAUGCAUUUAUUUACUGAUGAUUGUGUGAUUAAACAAUUGUGUCUGUAGCUUUCAAAUUUAUUGAUUCUUGAAAGGUUGACAUGCCAAUACAUUACUGUUGUUUUGUAUAUUGAUAUUCUUAUAACAGUAUGCCCACAUAUUUUAAACUUCUGUUUUGAUUAUUUUAGAUCUAGAGUUUUAAUUCAUAAAUAUCCUUUUUUUAACAAAUUGGAUGUUUGUAAUUUUUACAUGAUAAAAAAAUUAUUCAGUGUGUAUAUAGUAUUACAUACUAAAGGCUCUAAACUAUCAAUGCAAAAUUCCAAAAGUUAAAAUUACUGUUAAAUUAUUGAGUAUUGAGGUUCUGAUAUAUUCUACAAUUUUUGUCACUAAAUAAAAUUUUAGGUUGUUUAGUUGAUUUUAUUGUAUUACAUUAAAAUCAUUAUAUUUUUAUAUGAAUAAAAGUUGGUUCAAUGUGUCACUAAUUAUAUAAAAAUCCCGGAAUCACCAUCAAAAUGCAACAAUGACAAUUGACUUGUGUCAUAAGUUUACAACAUGCCUUUCAAAACUUCUCCAACAUUUCCAGAAGCUAAAUAUAUAAACAUGAAAAUACAGACAUAUAAAUAAAUAAAUAAUAAAAAAAAAUAUAUAUAUAUAUAUACACACAUAUACUUAUGAAAAAAUUGACAAUUGUGGAUAGAUAUUCGAGGAAGAGUAACCGUUGACUUCAAAUGGUGCCCGUCAAAAGGAAUGAAGCACAAUCCCCCAAACUAGUGUAACAAAACUGCUCACAGUGUCACAGAAUGCUGCUGGCUGGCACUCCAUACACAUCAAUUCCCCAGUUGAAGUUUAUCCCCUCUCCACGUCAGGUCCAUCCUACACACCAAUGUAAUAUAUAUAUAUAUAUAUAUAAAAGACUGUGUAUGUACUCGCAAACAGUGGUCCUGGUGGUUGGCUGUCUGCGUCAACAGCAAGGAGAAACGAUGCAGUGUGGCGGUAGACCCAGCUGUUUCUCCGAAGUACUCCACUGCAUCAGACUUGGAUUCUACGGUGCCAAUUGCACCACCAGCUGACUUCUUUUUCUGAUGUCAGAGUGGCUGUUUUGUGCUCCUGGAAACCAUAGAAUGGUGGUUACUCCGACACUGGCUGUGUCUGUAUUAACUCAAGGAUUCGGGCUAGCUGGCCUGUCUGGUACCCGUGAAUGCUUGAAUGAGGGUAAACUUGCUUGUAUUGUAUUAUAAAUGCAUGGAUUGGUGUCAUGUUCAGUGUGUUGCAUGUCUAUAGUAGGAUUAUGAUAAGUGAGAGAAUUAGUGAAUAUUUGAUUUAUGGGUUGUUUGAUGUCAAGUUGUUGCACGAUAUUGAGGUUAUACUCUUCUGAAAGAUUAUGUGUUUUGUUUUUUUGUUGGUUUUGAAAGAUGAUAAUAUGAGUGAGCAAAUGAAAGUGUGGAUUUUCAACAAGAUGUAGAUUACCAAGAGUGUAAGAUAAAUUAAGAGAAGAAAUGGCAUGCCUUGUCUUCUUCUCUGAUUGUUUGCAGGUCUCAAGGACAAGAACUUGAUAAAGACAAAUAAACAAAUGAGACUUUUUUCAAAGAAAGAUGAAAAAAUAGAAAUAACUUGAUAUGUAUAUUAAGAAAGAAACAAGAAUGGCUAUUGCCAAAAGACAAAAAAAUUAGAGACCCUUGAAACUAAAUUAGAAGCAAGAAAAGAGUUGACAAGAGUGAAGAGGGCUUCACUCUUGUCUCUAUAUAUAUUAUCUAACUAAGGGCUAUGUGGCGAUGUUCUAUAGGACCUCCAAUAUGUAUUGACUUUGUAGGACACAUGCCUUAACUUACAAGGCAAGUUUUUCUACGAAUGGGCCACAAAGUUAGCUUGGUCUUCAAGCUAACAACAUGUGUGGCACAUGGCCAACUUGUUGACCACGUUUCUAAUACAAAAAGUCAAUCACAGACACCUAUAAAGUCAAAGUAGCAUCUAUAAAGCUUCUACGUUGUCGUAUUACGUACUUUCCUGCUCGAGAACGCGCCGCGCAUCUGGCUGUAGAAGGUAGUAUAGAGAUUCGCCAAUCGUCAAGCAGUUUAUCAGUUUUUGACUGCUGAAAUAUAAACGACUGCAAGAAUACACCGUAAAUCUAUACGGAUGCCCUUCGACUGCUCGCCGAAGUCCUUUUUGCCCAGUCGGUAGGUCUCUAGACGUUACAGAGAACCCCGAACAACCCAAUCUACUAAUCUCCGAUACCGCUUUAUACUCACGAUCUUGUAUCCACUGACUGUCUUGUUAGACUAACCCAAUAAAUUUCAUUCACUCUGCAUACUCAAUCCUAUAGACACCCUUUUAAUUCUUCAAUCACAGACGUAACUCGAUGUUAGGGACAUAGUCCUUAGACCUUUCUAGAGACAAGUUUCUAGAACCUUCUAGAAAGAAGUCUCUAGAAACUUCCAGAAGAUUCCUUGAAUAUUCUCUUAGAAUAUUCUUCAAAGAUUCCCUAAAGAUUCUUUGAAGAUUCCCUAAAGAUUCCCUUAGAAGGCUCUAGAAGAUUCUUAGAAUAUUCUAGUAGAUUCUAGGAAGUUACUUGAGAAGCUUCCUAGCUCUUGGGUAGUUGCUCGAGAAGCUUCAUAGUUCUUGGGAAGCUUCUUGAUGCGCUUCCUUAGAACCAUAGGCCAGUAGUAUAUAUAGGAGUCGAGGCUGAAGAGUUCUUCAGUCUCGACAACACAUCUCUUGGAGUUCUAGCUCACCUUUCUGGUGUUGUUCUUGUACUCAUCUGUUUAAUCUAGUUCUGCCACUUCUUCUUGAACUUCUUGUUAGAUUUCAAGUCUGUAUUUUGUGUCCGUGAUAGUUUGUCGAGACUACCUUUAUCUUAAUAUCAGAGCUGAAUCCUUCUUGUUUGAGAGCGGAUUACCCCUCUUCUUGAAGGUAUUUUAGUGCUUUAGGGGUUGCGGAUUACCUUCCUCUAAACUGAUAUUUUCUCAAUCACAAUAUCAGAGCUUAGUUCUUUGAGGCAGAGAGUGGACUACCCCUUUCCUUGGAGAUACUUGAGCGUUCUAAGGGUUGCGGAUUACCCUCUCUUGGACUGAUAUUAAUUCCUUCUUUUUGUUUAGCAUAGCUAGUAGAAAAGACUGUUAACAUCGAUUUCAGAGCUUUGCCUUCUUGAUAAAGUGCAGAUUACCCCUCUUCUCGAAAGCAUUGAGGCAUUUUUAGAGGUUGCGGAUUACCCUCCUCUAAAACUGAAAUCGUUUAGUGUUUUUUUUUUUUUUUUUUUUUUUUUUUUUCCUUUUCUCCGAGUAGGUUUUAGUGACAGGUAGUGCUACAAUUUUCUCCAAGAGACUUAGCAAUUUCUUCUUCUCUCAAAAUUUUAAUCCAUCUAUUCUCUAAAUAUGGAAGUAGACCAGGUCAUAGACAGUGCAUCUUCACAAGUAGACAAUAGAGUGACAAUUCUUGCAGAUCUUCAAGCUCUUAUGAAUAGUGUACGAAAGGAGAUUGCAUUUCUUCGCAAUCCAAGUAAAGAACGUCAAAUUGAUCUAGUGACCGAAGAAGCUAGACGCGAAAUUCAUAGCCUACAACAAGAGAUUAUUCGACUGAGAGAAGCAAGACAUGUGUCACAUACGACCCCUAUAGAUACUUCAAGGAUUAGUACGAAAGAACCAAAAGCGAGUAUGCCAGACAAGUUUGACGGAACAAGAGCCAACUUUCGAGGUUUUGUGCAACAAGUACGGCUUUACCUACGCCUAUACCCUUCUCGUUAUCCGAAUGGAUUCACCCAGGUUGCUUUCAUAGGUACUCUUCUAUCAGGAAAUGCUUGCUCUUGGUUUGCUCCACUAUUGGAGAAAGAUUCUCCAAUAUUGUACGACCUAGAGGCUUUCAUAGAGAGACUUACUGCUGCGUUUGGAGAUAGCGAUCGAGAAAGAGUGGCUGAAAGAAAGAUACAAAAUCUGCGACAAGGAUCACGUUCUACUGCAAUCUAUGCUGCAGAAUUUCAACAGCUUACAUGUGUUCUUGAUUGGAAUGAUAAGGCGUUCAUGACACGAUUUCGAUAUGGACUGAGAGAUGAUGUCAAGAACUUAUUGAUCACCAUGCCUAAGGCGGAUACUUUAGAAGAACUUAUAUAUCAGGCAAUUAUUUGUGACAACCGCCUCUUUGAAUUACGACAAGAAAGAUGAUUAGGCUGGAGAAAUGAUGGAGCAUUUGCUACAUUUUCAAAAGGUCCAGAGAAUCACUCCACAGAUCCUGAACCCAUGCAAAUUGAUGCGGUACGUUUCAAACCCCUCACAGCUGAGGAAAGGAAGCGACGGUUUGAACAAAACUUGUGUUUCUAUUGCGGAGAAGCGGGCCAUAAAGCUGUAGAUUGUCGGAAGAAACAGAAGCCUCAAACAACAAGACUCAGGAGUACAAGCAUGCAGGAAAACAAGGACGCCCAGCCACAAUAGGGACCGUGCGGCUGGACAUCUCAACAUCCAAAAUUAAUCAAGGUCCCUUUCUCUCAGCUCAACCUUCAGAUUGUUUUAUGGUACCUUUACAUCUGGGUAUUCAAGAACUAUAAGUCGAUGCUUUAUUAGACUCGGGUGCAUCCGCUUGCUUUAUAGAUGAAGAGUUUGCCAAGCUUCACAAUAUUUCUCUUGUAAAGAAACUUAAGCAUGUCCAUGUAGAAGUCAUAGAUGGACGACCAUUGUCUUCGGGCAAUGUUAUCCAUGAAACUAAACCAUUGAAGGUACGUCUUGAAAACCAUGAGAGCAAUAUUGUGUUUAAUGUUAUUAAGACCCCUUCAUGUCCUAUCAUUUUGGGACUAUCUUGGCUUGAUAGAUAUAAUCCAUUGAUAGAUUGGAAGUUGCGGAAAGUGACAUUUCCAACAAAUUCCUUGAAGGUGGAAUCUGCCAAGACAAUGUCUAGAAACAAAUCCUUGUUUAUAGGUGCAAGGGCUUUCAUGAAGGAAGCCAAGCAAAAUACACCUCUUGUCAUCUUUGCAACUCCGACUCGAGAAGAUGCAACUAUGACUUUGGUUAUUCCAAAGCAGUAUGAAGAAUUCAAAGAUGUCUUUGAAAAGAAGAAUGCUGAUAUGCUGCCAGAGCAUCGACCCUAUGACUGUGCCAUUGAAUUGCAAGAAGGAGCACAACCACCUUUUGGACCAAUCUACAAUUUGUCGCAGACGGAGUUGAUUGAGUUGCGGAAGUACAUUGACGAGAAUCUAGCCAAGAAUUUCAUCCGUCAUUCGAAGUCGCCAACUGGGGCACCAAUCUUAUUUGUGAAGAAGAAAGAUGGCUCACUACGGAUGUGCGUGGACUAUCGAGGUCUCAACAAGGUGACAAAAAAGAAUCGCUACCCACUGCCUUUGAUCUCUGGUCUUCUAGAACAACUUAGGCGUGCAAGGAUCUUUACAAAGAUUGACCUAAGAGGAGCUUACAACCUUGUGCGAAUCAAGGAAGGAGAUGAAUGGAAGACAGCUUUUCGAACAAGGUAUGGCCAUUUUGAAUACAAUGUCAUGCCAUUUGGUCUUACUAAUGCUCCAGCGGUCUUUCAACACAUGAUGAAUGACAUCUUUCCAGAGCAUCUAGAUGAUUUUGUUGUCAUCUAUCUAGAUGAUAUUUUGAUAUUUUCUAAGAACGAGGAAGAACAUGAGAAGCACGUUCGUCUGGUACUCAAAAAACUACGGGAGCGAGGACUCUAUGCCAAAUUGGAGAAGUGCUUAUUUCACCAAACUGAGAUAGAGUUUUUGGGAUUCAUCGCGACUACGGAAGGAUUGAAGAUGGAUCCAAAGAAGGUGGAAGCAAUCAUGUCUUGGGAAGUUCCGAAGACGGUUAGGGACGUACAAUGUUUUCUUGGAUUUGCUAACUACUAUCGGAUCUUCAUCAAGAAUUAUUCUCAAGUUGCUGCCCUCCUCACUCGGUUAACGUGCAAGGACAAGCUCGAAUGGGGACCUAUCGCAGAAAAAGCAUUCCAAGAUUUGAAGAUGGUAUUUACUACAACUCCAAUCUUGGUACAUCCGGACUUUACAAAGGCCUUUUAUUUGGAGACAGAUGCUUCGGAUUUUGCUUUGGGAGCUGUACUUUCACAGAUGGGCGUAGAUGAGAAGCUCCAUCCAGUUGAGUUCUAUUCUCGAAAAUUCUCUGCUGCUGAGAUCAACUAUGAGAUCUACGAUAAGAAACUCCUUGCUAUAGUAGAUUCUUUCCAAGAAUGGCACCACUUUCUCGAAGGAACUGCACAUCCAGUGACCGUAUAUAUGGAUUACAAGAAUUUGGAGUAUUUUAUGUCGGCUUGGGUUUUGAAUCGGCGUCAAGCUCGGUGGAGUAUGUCGCUAUCCAGGUUCGACUUUGUUAUUACUUAUCGGCCUGGGAAGCAACAAGGGUUGUCCGAUGCAUUAUCAAGGAGAUCAUAUCUCGCGCCAAAGGCUGGAGAUGCAGCAUUUGAUCAACAGUGCACGACAUUGUUGAAGCCAGAGAAAUUUCGACUCAACGCAGUUAUUGUACCAAUUGAUGCUGACUUCCUCGACCAGGUACGGGUCGCAACCAUUGAAGAUUCUCUAGUCCUUGAUAUCAAGCAACAUGCUAGUGAUGAUAAAUUCAAGAUGGAAGGAAAUCUAGUAUAUUUCGAAGAGCGGUUGUAUAUCCCAAAAGGGCCAACACGACUCCGAGUUCUUCAAUCUCGUCAUGACUUUCUAGCUACGGGACAUUUUGGAUUCAAUAAGACCUUGGAACUUAUUUCCCGCGAUUUUUGAUGGCCUCAAAUGUAGAAGGAUGUGAAAGAUUUUGUUGUAUCUUGUGACAUUUGUUCAAGAUCCAAAAACCCUCAACAUCGGCCUUAUGGACUUCUACAGCCAUUGCCUAUUCCGCGCCGACCAUGGUCUUCGGUUUCCAUGGACUUUAUUACGGAUCUACCACCAUCGAAUUCAUUUGACAGCAUUUUUGUUGUCGUAGAUCGGCUUACAAAGAUGGCACAUUUUGUCCCUUGCAAGAAGACAUCGUCAAGCGAAGACACAGCAAGACUCUUUCUUGAUAAUGUGUAUCGAUAUCAUGGUCUAUCAGAUGAUAUCGUAUCGGAUCGAGGAACCCAGUUUGUGUCAAAGUUUUGGAAAUUUCUUUUUGAGAUAUUGAAGGUGGAUAUCAAGCUUUCUUCAGCAUUUCAUCCUCAAACGGACGGCCAAACAGAACGAGUGAAUCAAGUUUUAGAGCAAUAUUUACGUUGCACCAUCAACUAUCAACAAGAUGAUUGGGCCGCAUAUCUACCGCUAGCCAAGUUCGCAUAUAACAACACCCUUCAUGCGUCAACUCAACAAACGCCAUUCUUUUUCAAUUAUGGAUACCAUCCGAAGCUUGACUUAUGGAGUUCGUUAACGAUUAACAAUCCGGCAGCUGAAGGAUUGGUGAAGGAGCUUUCGCAACUUCAAACUAUAUUGAAGCUUCAAUUGCAAACUGCCCAAGAAUCUUACAAGGCGUCCGCGGACAAAUUUCGGAAUCAAGCACCUAAAUUCACGAUUGGAGACAAAGUUUGGCUGCUUCGACGAAAUAUUAAGACCAAGCGGCCAUGUGACAAAUUGGACUAUCGGAGAUUGGGACCAUUUGUUAUCCAGAAGCAGAUCAAUCCUGUAGCGUAUCGUCUGGAGUUACCAGCUACUAUGAAGGUACAUCCUGUCUUUCAUGUUUCUUUGUUGGAGCCUUAUCGAGAAUCGUCUUUUCCUGGAAGAGUACAAUGUCCACCACCUAGCAUAGAAAUAGAGAACCACGAAGAAUACGAGGUGGAAAAGGUCCUGGAUUCACGGCAAAGACGGGGUAAAUUAGAAUACUUUGUGCAUUGGAGCGGUUACGAUAUUAAUGAACGAACAUGGGAGCCGGCCGAAAAUCUCGCGAAUGCGCCGCAAAAGGUACAAGAGUUUCAUCGACGAUAUCUUGAGAAACCCAAGCCGGUUUGACGAUAGCUUCUUACUGAAGCUUGCUCAUCCAGAAAACAGAAAAGAGGAGAGAGCACCACCAAAAUCCAUAGUUGAUGUAGUCAUUCUCUCCAAGAUAGCGUAGAACUUUGUUAGUAGCCCAAGUUUGUUCUUAUUGUUUUAGCCUUUGAAUAUGGAUAGCCAAGAUACUACACUUGUCAUGUCAUCUCAAGCAACUAGCUCACGAAGACGACCGCGAGAUGAAGAACCGCCUGCACCACGACGACGUCGAAGGAUUCCGAGCAACAGAUCGCUGGUGAUUAUAUUUUGAGGUCAAGCCUGCCUACAAUGGUCAGCCAGAAGGAGUGUUUGCAGGACAAUUUCACAAUGAAGACACGGAGGUUCAUGCUUGGUCAGAAGUUGAAGGCGUGGGCCACUAGCGUUGGCUUCAAGGACCAUUGAAUCACUUGCCUCGUGAACAACAAUUGGAAUUCAUAGCAGAGGUUAUGCGACAGAUCUUCAUUUUCUUGGGUUGGUAUUGACUGACGAUAACAUUGCUUCUCGGAGACCUCGAAGCUAAAGGAGGAGGUGAUGUUAGGGACAUAGUCCUUAGACCUUUCUAGAGACAAGUUUCUAGAACCUUCUAGAAAGAAGUCUCUAGAAACUUCCAAAAGAUUCCUUGAAUAUUCUCUUAGAAUAUUCUUCAAAGAUUCCCUAAAGAUUCUUUGAAGAUUCCCUAAAGAUUCCCUUAGAAGGCUCUAGAAGAUUCUUAGAAUAUUCUAGUAGAUUCUAGGAAGUUACUUGAGAAGCUUCCUAGCUCUUGGGUAGUUGCUCGAGAAGCUUCAUAGUUCUUGGGAAGCUUCUUGAUGCGCUUCCUUAGAACCAUAGGUCAGUAGUAUAUAUAGGAGUCGAGGCUGAAGAGUUCUUCAGUCUCGACAACACAUCUCUUAGAGUUCUAGCUCACCUUUCUGGUGUUGUUCUUGUACUCAUCUGUUUAAUCUAGUUCUGCCACUUCUUCUUGAACUUCUUGUUAGAUUUCAAGUUUGUAUUUUGUGUCCGUGACACUCGAUUUCACAAAACAGUCAAGAGUAAUCAAACCCACUUUAUUAAAAAUCCCGAUUCACCGUUACAACAUUGACUUCAACAACGAUUGCCUCAAUCUUCCCAAAACCCUAUGAAGAAAAAAAACCCAAUUCCCUGUCUUUUUUUCCCGCCCGAAGCAUGAAGCUAGCUCUGUGAUCCUUCAAAAAAAAACUCCCCAAAAAACUUAUUUUCUCCCCUAACCUUAUCCUUUGAAUUUCUUCAAUCUUCCGUCUUGGAUCCGGAAUUGGCUCCCACCAUCAGAGCUUGGAUCCAAAAUUGGCUCUCGUCGUCAGAGCUUUCGUUCCCAUUUUUACCUUUAAGAGAUCUUUUUACCGAAAACAACGUUCCCUGAAACAACACAAAGAACAAGACAGCCUGAAACAGAAUCGAAACCCUGUAAUCGAGACCACAUUGAGUCGCCCGACCAAUUUAGGUCUCAUAUUGGCUAAGAGUCCAGAUAUAAGACCCGGAUAUUCCCGUAAUUGGAUCAAAUUGGUCCUUCACAUCAGAUUGGCUGAGGCCCAUAGUAAGACUUGGAUUUUUCCUUAAUUAGACUCCAUUGGGUUGCCCGGCCAAUUCAGGUCUCAUAUUGGGUAAGAGGACCCGGAUUGGAUUCUUGAAAUUGGAUCCAAUUGGCUCUUCGAACUAGGCUCACCCGUCAUGUGAAUUGGUCCAUUCUCUUCCUGCUGACUCCCGUUAUUGGAAUCGAACGGAGCACUUCAGUAUGCCCCAGCUGACUGUAACGGGGUGACUGAACCUGGCCACUUAGUAUUUGUACUGGAGUUGGUCGUUGCUCCCAAUAUUCGAGGUAAGUGAACAUUAAUAAAAGUCCCCUUUCUUUAUAUUUUCACGGUAUACUCGUAUUACAACACGACAUCCACCCCCUCUGAACCUGUGCAUCCUCCGGUAUGCACCAAUUUACCCAAUUGUUGUUUGAUUCAGAAUAUAUCCUCUACGUCUUUGUCCAGUUCGUCUUCGUCACCUUCAUUAUCCAAAUCACUUUCAUCUUCUUACUGCGGAAUCUCUAUAUCUUCACUAAGGUCUUUCAUAUUCAUCUCCACGUGUCUUCGUUUAAAUAUUUUUACUCGCUUCCCUGCAAUUGGUAUUUUCAAUUUUGUACCAUCUAACUCUCAUAAUGAAUAAGUCGCAUUAUCAUAAACAAUUGUUACUACAUAUGGUCCAAACCAACGUUUUGAAAAUUUCCACAAAAUAGUAUGUUGAUUAUCCAGACUAUUGUCAUAAACAAGUACCCAGUCACCUUCUUCGAUUGCUUUAGGUCUCAAUCGAUGUUGCUUAUCGAAUCGCGCCUUGUUUUGUAACCUUGCUCUUUUUAACCGUUCCAAUGCUAUCUGCACAUCUUCCGAUCUUUGCUCCAAUUGUCGAAUCCUAAUAGCCAGAAGUUCUUCUCUUGUCAAUCCAUCUUUCCAUGGUAGCAUACUCCAAGUAAGUACCUUUUCUUCAAUCGACAUAAUUGAUUUUCAACCUGUCAUAAGUUCUACUGGCAUAUAUCCUGUCACCGAACUAUGUGUUGUUCGAUCAGCCCAUAAUGCAAAUGACAAAAGCCGUGGCCACUCUUUAACUUUUCCAUUAUAUGCUUUAACUAAUGCUUUCACAAUCAGUGGGUGACUGCGUUCGCUUUUUGCAUUCCCUUCUGGAUUAUAAGCAGUAGUCAGUGAUAGUCUAACCCUACAUCUUUCAAAGAACUUACGAGCUUCUUGUGCAUUUAAUUCUCCACGAUCUGCAUUGAUUUUUCCUACGCAUCCGUAGCGGCAAAUGACAUCUUCAAGCAAAAACCUACAAAUUUCCUCUGUAGAUUUUGUCCUAAAUGCUCUUCCUUCUACUUGAUUUGAUAAAUCUUCAUAAGCUAAAACCAAAUAUCUCAUUUGUCAUAAUCCAACUGGCAUAAUAACCAAAUCAACAAUCCAUUUAAAAUGAAUAGCCAGAGGAUACGUAGGAUGAAGACCAUCUCGAUUUCGGAUAUUAGAAUACGAUUGACAGAUUUCACAUGACUCUACAAAUGAGAGUACAUCUCAAUACAUAUUUUUCCACGAAUAUCGUUCCUUGAGUUUAGGAAAAGUAGUCCAGAUUCUUCUAUGCACUAUCUAUAAAUUAUCAUGAAACUCCUUUAAUAAUUUUAGUUUUUCUUCUUUUUUGCCUAUCACUCGUUGUGGCACCCCAAUUCCUUUCUUCGGUCUCUUCCAUAAGAAUCCAUCUCGAAGUAAAAAUCCAUAUGUUUUUUUUCUUAUUUGUUUGAAUUUUUCUGUAGACCAAUUCCCCUGCUUAGUCAAGGUAUUCAAAUAAUGACCAAUAUCCAAUAAUUCUCCUUCAUAAGAUUCUUCAAGAAAUAACUUGUCUACUCUGUUGAGAUUUGAUAUUGAAUAGAAUUUCAAUCCGACGUCAUCAAUGUCUUCAACAAUUUCGUCCUCCCUCUCGUAUCUUGCUCGAGAUAGCAUGUCUGCUACUAAAUUGUCCUUCCCAGUAAUAUGCUUAAAUUCUGGAUUUAGUGACUUAAUAUAAGCAAUCCAUCUCAACAUUGCAAUAUCUGGCGUUGAACAGUUAUUAAUCAUUCCAAGCAAUGGCAAGCAAUCUGUUUCAAUUACUACUACUGUUCCAAUCAAAUAGUCCUUUUCAGAUUUCAUAGCUGAAAUGACUCCCUAAAGUUCUCUUUUGACUUGCGAAUAUGCACGCUGACGAAUACUUAAAACUUUAGCCCCAAAUCAAACUGCAAAUCUAUUCCCAUUUGAAUCAUCAUGACCCACAGCCCAUCUAAUGGCAAUUGGACUAGCGUCCACAGUAAGAAUCACUGGUCUAUUGCACUUAUAAUCAACCUUCUUCAAUAUUGGAGGUGACAUCAAUAAUUUCUUCAAUCUUUGCAUUGCCUGAAUAUGCCUUUCUUUCCAUUUAAAUCGGUAGCCCUUGCGUAACAGUUCAUAUAAUGGAUCCGCUAUGUGAGCAUAAUGAGGGAUCUAGAUUCGAUAAAAUACACAUGCACCUAAAAACCUGCGCACCUCUGUUAAAGAAUCACAAUCCUCUUUCAUCCUUCCAAUUGCAUCAACUUUAGUCGGAUCUGGUUUGCUUCCGUAAGAUCCACAUAAAUGUCCAACAAUCACAACCUCUCGUACUCCAAAUACGGACUUCAUACCCGAUAAUGUAAGAUGAACUUCUCCAAGCAGAGUUAAAAUCUUUUCACAAUCUUGUAUAUGAUCAACAACAUAUUUGCGACACCCCCUCGUAUCUAAAGUUUCAUCUUUGUCUCCUUCUCUGCACCCUUUUAUAGGAACAUCAUCCAGAAAAGGCAUAGUCUUUUUCGGAUUAAAAUCUCUCAAUACCUUAUUCAUCCCAUUCAUCAUAUGGACAACUGAGUUGGUCGCGCCUUGAGGAAGAGUGCACAUUCUAACCAAUCCAAGUGGUGUCCUCAUUGUUGUCAUAUCUCUACUUCUUUCGGUAAGUUGAAAUUGAUCAUAACCUGAAUACAAGUCACCCAUUGAAUAGAUCGCCCUUCUAGCAAAUGCCUCAGCAAAUUCAUCCACAAUAGGUCCAAUUCCUACAUUCUUGACAGUUACUGCAUUCACCGGUUG